rnacentral:lncRNA from 1 species
GGAGGUUGUUUUGGCCAUUUGGGAGUUACUUGUUUUGUUCAUAUGAGGGCACAAUUUGUUUGGACAAUGCUGUAUCGGUCAACAAGAUGAUGCAUUUGUUGCUGAGGACAGGCUCUCGAAAUUGUAUUGUUGAGGAGCACCUUAAUUAUGGGCAAUAUGUUGAAAGACUGACUCGUCAGUCUUUGAAGAGAAUCUUCAUGGAAGGAGAUCCCCCUGAGUCAAGCUAUGAAGCAAGUCUUUCGAUGGCUUUGAACUCCAUAGGGACCUAUCAACAGGUAGGAGCACAUCUUAGAUCAUCGAUUGUGAUCUGUAAGUCUAUCAGUUUGGGCAUUUUUUUCCUGGGUGCAAUUCCUCUUGAGUUUAAAAGUUUUUUGAUCCCCUCCUUUGCAGGUAUCGAUUGCACUGAUGGCAAAAGAUUGCUUGAAGAUGGCGAGGCGAAUAGGGCCCUCACCGGACCAGAAUGCUGCUAAGUUAGCCAUUAGGCUAUCCAAAAUCGCCCCUUAUAGGUUGGAGAUAGAGUGGUAUAAAGCCUGUUGCGAUAAGUCCGCCGAGCAAAGAGGAUACUAUGAUCCUUUCAAGCAAAGGGGCGUCUCAAAGAGAGAGUCCCAUAUAAACAUGAACCGGAUCAUGCUCGCUGCCUUUUGGGAUGAUGUCAUAUGCAUGAUGGACAGGAACGAGCUCCCACUCAACUUUCACAGAAGUUUAGAAUGGGUAAUUGAGGAGUCGCAGCUCUAUAAGCUUCUUGUGGAGCCAUUGGACAUCGCAGAGUAUUAUCGGCCGGGGAUGCAUCGGAAGAAAGGCCACUACAUAAGCAAUGGAAGAGAGAGGAGGUAUGAAAUUUUGGAUCAGUGGUGGACUGAGAGAGUUGUUACCGAGAAACUGGGCAAUAGGAGGACCAGGUAUGCAAGCUCGACCCAAGACACUUGCUUUUGGGCAAGGGUGGAGGAUGCAAAGGAGUGGCUGGACAAAAUCAGGAGGAAGAGUGACCCAAACAACCUGGCUUUUCUUCGGGAGAGACUCAAUGAGUUUGAAGCAUAUGCAAUGAAGCUGGUUGAAGGAAAAGAGGUGUCUGCUGAUGUUCUGGCUAAGAAUUCAAGCUUUAGUUCAUGGUUAGAAGAAUGGACAGCAUUAAAUCGAACUGGCCUUACCCAACUGAUUCCAAGCUGGUUCACACAGAGAUCGAUUCGCUUCCUGGUACCAUGCUGGUUCACAUGGGGUCCGAUUCGCUUCCUAGUAAAAUAUUUAGGAAUUGGUCUUCAAAGGUUUGAUUUCCGGUUCCAUGUAGAACCAGUUUAAAAAAAAAAAAAACUAAGUUCUCAUAACUUUCAUGUCGUAGUCAAUAAAAAUAGGAAAGUCAGCAUGGAAAUCAAAAUCAAAACAAAGGGAUAGAUGUAAUAAAGACUUUCAGAAGAGAGGGGAGAAAAAUGCAUAUGAGCAUUCUUCAGCCUGCUCUUUGUGCAAUUUUAGACAUACUAUGUUACUUGCUUCAAUAUUGGUAAAAGGUAGUGGAAUUGAGGUUCAUGGUGAGAGAUAUGGCUUAACAACAGAAAAUGUACCUCCUGAUUUUAUAUUGGGAGGUAAUUGAGUGUUUUGUCUUCUGCAGCUGCAAUAUUUUUCCUUAUUCAACUUGCCGCUUAUUACUUCCAACACUGAAAUAUUUCUACUUAAUAAGAAAACGUGAAGAGUCCACUUUAGCGCAAGGUUGUUGCCAUCUUUAUUUGUGCCAGAGCACAAUAAUAUGAUGCUUUGAAUGGUGAUACUGCAUAUGCCAUCUGAAGCCACUCGUUGGAUCAAUUCACUGCACCAAGCUUUGCUAGAUAUUUGGAAGUAGAAAUGCAACAGGAAAGAGAACAAGAAGCAAACAAAAUAAGGAAUCUACCUGAGUGCUAAUGCCAGCGUUGAGGCCUAUGGUUUCAAGCCUUAAAACAAAGGGGACCAAUCAUCUGUUAAAAAGUUCACAAAGAUAAGAUCAUUAAAUAUCUUGAAAAAGCAUCAACUUCUUUUCUAAAGGUAACCACCUAAUAGCAUAAAUAGAACUUAUAUCAAGGAAAAUUGCAUUUAGUAGUGCAGAGGAAUUUGUUCCUAACUUUAUAUAAAUUCUGUUGGAAAACAGGACAGGAUCUCAGUUUUGAGAAGAUUUUUUCACAUGCAGUACUUUCCCCUCGCUAAAGUGUACUUGUUAAUCUUCUCCAGUCAUUCCUGCAAGCUUCUCAUGAAAUAGAAGUGCAGAGAAUCUCAUUAACGUUCAAAUUAGGCAACAUAUGCUUUGAAAAGAUGUUUGCAGUUCGGAGGUAAAUCAGCAUAACUUCCUGUGUCCUUUAUGUUUGCUUUUUGAGGUCGUGUUCCUAUAAGACGUUAUGACUACAGGUGUUUGUUUGAGACACAAAAAACAUCCCUCCUUUCACAUUUACAUGCUCAGAUGAACAAUAUUUUUUGCUAAGAGUAAUGACACCACCUGCAUAUUUUUUUGGCCUUUCAAACAAGUUCUCAAGUGUGAAAAGGUACUGAAAUCUGCAAACAAAUAUUAUUAGGAGCCCCUGAGAACGAGCUGACUUGGGAAGACGAAACUAACACCAGGCUGAUAAAUGACAACGAGCGCAGCAAAAACACCGUAUUAGGCGUGGUAAAAAGCUUAGCCUAAUCAGUAACUACUAAUCACCGAUAGGAGAACACCUCGACAUAAGAAAUUCUUUUAGGUGUUUAGAAACUCGACGGGAAUUAUUCAAGGUCUCUUAGUCAUCAUUCACGGAGACUGUUUACAAAAAGCAGCUCACCCUUGUCUUUGCCUUAUAACGUAAAGAGUGACGCUGUUUGCUUUUCCUGGAUCACGUAGCCACAAGAGUCAUUUAAGAGGUGAGGUUUGCCACUGAAACACAAGUAAACUUGUAAGAUAAGGUGCUCAAAGAUUUCUUGUUUACUCCGCUCCAUAAGACGAAAAUGCCUGAAACAGAAUCUUGGAGUGCCCUCACUGAUAGAUGACGUCUAGAUGUUAAAGUUUCACGGUCAAGUAGCAUUGCAAGUUGCGCGGAAAAAAAGGCCGGAUGGACGGAGUAAGCACUAUUUGUUGCACAUGCAUGCACGAGGAAUGACACAGAAGUAUGUGAUUGUAUGCAUAUUUUAAGCUAACAUAUUCCACAUUCUGCAAUAGUUUCUUUGGAUUAAAGAGGUCAAAGUUCAGUCCCUCUGCCACAGUCCAAGCACAAACCAUCUUGAGUUUUCUCUUUUCGUUAGAUCAACACCGAUGUGACAAAUUCAAUUCAGUAGUGCAUUACCCAGGAGUCGGCAACUGUGUGCAGAGCGACAUAGAGCAAAUGGUCACGUCAUGAUGGACUCUGAUGUUCGUGUGGCAAGAACAGCAUCAAUAGAAUGGAGAACUUCCUCCAACAUCGUCCGUGUUUGGGUAUCAAGAGGGCUCUCCGGCUUGUCUGAGUGAGCGAUGUUUAAGAGAUAGAGCUUCUUUGGGUUUUACACCCGCUCAUAUAUUGAAUUUAAUGGAUCCAUGUCAGGCGAAUAUUUUGGUGUAACAUGCAGGCCAAAUUGACCUGCGGUUGUGAGCAAUCAUGCCGCAUAAGGCAGUCAAUGUAAAAGAGAAUCGAUCAUCACUGGCCAUCACCUCUACAGCUCAAAAAUCUCUCUCUCGCUCUUGCUUGCUUAUCAUGUUGAUCAUCUCUUAUUUCUUAGUAUAGACUAUUGAGUUCAAUUUACUUACUGACAAAUUUAGAUAGGAACCUAAUAUUCCUAGCCUAAGAAACCAUACUGUCACCAUGUGUAUGACAAAUAUUCAUUGAAAAAACCAAAAAAAUUUACUGCAAAAAGAUACUUCACUUCGAUGUUCCCUUUAAAUACGACAGCUUCAAGCAUGAUGUCUACACUAAUCUUCUCAACAGUUUCGACCAAAAUCCAAAUUUGUUGUUAUUAUUAUUUUUUUUAAUUUCUAGGGGACAAAUCAUCAUCAUCAUCAUUCACCCAAAAAAAAAAAAAAAUCAUCAUCAUCAUCAUUAGCUUUUAAUGUGAAAAAAUAAACCAUAUUUUUCAUCUAAAAUUACAACUGGCGUCACAUUUUAAAGGUCUCACAUUAGAUUGCAAAUUAACUUGGAUUACACAAUGUGAUUUCGGCUAUACUAAUCACGUCCUCCGAUGCAACUUGAUCUUCUUAAAUGGAAAAUGGAUCCUAGCAUAAUAAUGUCAAGUCUUUAACGCCGAAUGAUUAAUCUAUCCUUUCUACUAUAAUAAGUUGUUAAAAAAAAAAAAAAUCCCCCCACCCGAUAGAUCAGAUCUUCCCUUUGCAAUAUAAUUUCCUUGAACGAUACUCUAGAUUUCAAAGAAUAAUUUAUUUGCGUUAUUAUUAACCCACUAUCACCGCUAUAAACCAACGGCGAAUGAGGCACGGAAGUUCUUGAACAGGUUUGCAUUUUCCAUUUCUGAAUAUAAUUUAAAUAACCAUUUAAAAAAAAAAAUUUCUCGUUGCGGUGUUAAGAGCUUCCCGGUCUCUGCUCUGUAUCCUUCUUGUCCGAAAAGUGUAAACCCAUAAACCCAAAACCCCUCCACUCUCCUUCGUUUCAUCUCCGUCCGAGGACGAGGCCCGAGUCCUUGCGAAAUCUUCUCCUCCUAAUUGCAUUUUUUCUGUAAUAUAUCUGUGAAAGUCUCCACCGUGGUUUGGCUUCAUGAAGUUGGUAAGUCUCUUUUUAACUGGUGUUCUAGUGCACCUCCUUCUGUCAAUCGACGUUUCCGGUCUUCAAAUUCAGUUUGAUUUGAAUUUGGAACAUACCCUCUUAUGCAGACGUGCUUGAGCAGAGGUAAAGGUUUUUACUUUCCCCAAUGUCACAUGCUGAGUGUCUGUGGGUUUAGGAUCCUGAUUGAUUGUCCCCUGGACCUGUCUGCUGUCGCUGCUUUCGCCCCUAUACCUCCCGGAUUUUCUGCUGUGCAAGAUGAAGAAGAUUUUGGACAUUCGGUCGAUGAAUCCGAUGGCUGUGAAUCUGGGAAUGAAGAGAGGGAGGAUACUGAGAACACCAUGAAUGCAAAGGCUUUGAUUCGUUCCGAACCGUGGUACAAAACCGUGGCAAGCCUGCACUUGUGGAAUCUCUCGUUCAUCAAUGUCAUGUUGAUCUCGAGCCCCACCAGGAUGCUCAGGUUGCCAUUUCUUACUCAAGCAAAGGGCUUCUCGGCAAAGGUAAUCUUCAUCUAGUUGAUUGACAUUUGAAGUAAUUUUUACGUAUAUAGUUGAGUGUUAGUUUAACUAUCGCUUGGUCUUGGAUUUGUGUGUUAAAAGAUUGUAACUUGCUUAAGAUCCAUGCUUUUACCAUAGGUAUAUGUAACCGAGGUGUUAAAAAUUUUGGAUGUGUGCAUUACAAAAGUAUGGUUUUGAUAUUAGUUAUAGUUUUUGGUUAGUGAUGUUGUGUGCAAGUGUAUGGUGUAGUUUAUAGAUGAUGGACAAGGGAUCAAUUAGGAUAAUUGAAGGACAAAGAACAUGGGAUAUGAGAAAUAAUUUCAUUAGUUGGAUAAAAUAAUUUUACAAUAGUUGAAGGAAGUGUUGGUGGAGGAGCUUCAUAAUAUGGAGUAUUAUCUCAUGCUCCUCUCACUAUGUUACAUUUGUUGUUCUACUAUGCUCUCCCAUCUUUCCUAUUUAUAGAGUGCUCUACCAACAUUCUAGAUUUGUGUAGAAUGUUGUCCACUUUGGCUUAAUCUAGAGGGUUCUAGAUUGUAGUUUAUCCUCCCUUCUUCUAGAGAGAUCUACACAUGUGCUUCUACAUUUUUCUCUUUCUUCCAAAAACUUCAUCUAGGGAAUUUUAGAAGUUUAGCAACUCUAGGAAAUUUUAGAAAAUGGAUUACCAUUUCCAACACUCCCCCUUGAUCCAUUUUCAGGAUACUUCGAAUAUUGUAGUUUGUCCCAUGUCUUUUAUUCCGUCUUCGUUCCACGAUCCCUUGUAUCCUUUUGUUGGCACACUCGCACCUGCUUUCGAAUGUCCAUGUCUUUUCUUCAACGAUGGCCCAUAUGUCUCGGGACAUCAAAAUGCUCUUAGUUAUAGUUGUUAGCUUGAGCUUUGGCUCUGGCUCUCGUAGGCUCUGGCUCUGGCUCCGACUUUGAUUAUGGCUCUGGCUCCGGCUCUAGCUCUCUUGGCUCUUGCUCGGGCUCUAGCAUUUGAUUCUGGCUUUGGCUCUGACUCUGGCUCUGUUGGCUCUGGCUUAGGCUCUGGCCUUUGAUUCUGGCUCUGGCUCCAGCUCUGGCUUUGUUGGCUCUCGCUCGGGCUCUGGCCUUUUUAGUUGAGAAUGGUGAGGACAAACGCCCAUAACCAUCCGAUAUGCCUAGCUUUGGCUUCACGUUCCCUUACACCUAGCUCAGUUACGAACCUAGGUGCAUCUAGCUUUGAUACCAUGUUAAAAUUUUUUGGAUGUGCACGUGCAGAAAUAUGGUUUUGGUAGUAGUUAUAAUUUUUGGUUAGUGAUGUGUGUGCAAGUGUAUGGUGUAGUUUAUAGAUGAUGGACAAGGCACAAGAUAUGAUAAUUAAAGGAUAAAGAACAUGGGAUAUGGAAAUUAGUUUCAUUAGUUGAACAAAAUAGUUUGAUGGAGGUACAGUAGAGAUCUAUGACUUCUCAUUGUGGAGGGUUCACCUCACACACAAGGUGGAGGGUUUUCCCUCACACUCUUAAAUGAUCAAUUACAAGCUUACUUAUAGGCAUGAAUUCACUACCAUACACAACUGACUUUGUACAAAAAAUUAAUAUAAAAUUACAAACUUGCUUCUUUAUCUCCUGCUCGUGCGGCUUCUUCGGAUCUUCUAGUGGCUUUCCAUUUUUCUUCAUUUUUCUAAUCUCAGCACCUUUUGUUGACUUUUCUUUCAAGAUUUCCCAUGCACAAAUUUCCUAUGCACGAGACUUCUCUAGUUUGUUUUCCUUCAGCCGCUAUUCUUGACUUUUAUCUAAGGUUUCCCACUUGAACAAAAUAGUUUGAUGGAGGUACAGUAGAGAUCUAUGACUUCUCAUUGUGGAGGGUUCACCUCACACACAAGGUGGAGGGUUUUCCCUCACACUCUUAAAUGAUCAAUUACAAGCUUACUUAUAGGCAUGAAUUCACUACCAUACACAACUGACUUUGUACAAAAAAUUAAUAUAAAAUUACAAACUUGCUUCUUUAUCUCCUGCUCGUGCGGCUUCUUCGGAUCUUCUAGUGGCUUUCCAUUUUUCUUCAUUUUUCUAAUCUCAGCACCUUUUGUUGACUUUUCUUUCAAGAUUUCCCAUGCACAAAUUUCCUAUGCACGAGACUUCUCUAGUUUGUUUUCCUUCAGCCGCUAUUCUUGACUUUUAUCUAAGGUUUCCCACUUGAGUCUUCUCCAAUUCCCACGUGAAUGUUAGUAGUUUCUAGAUUUUGUUGAAAAUGGAUCACCAAUUCCAACACGAGGCAGCAAUGAAACUUGGGAAACUUAUGAUGGAAUGAGGACUUCAGGCAGUUGUAUGGAUCUGAAGAAUUCACUAGUCCUUACUAGAUGAAGUGGGAGGAGCUGGAAUCACUUCCUCCUGCAAUGAAGGAGAUAGUAUUGGGCACUGAUGGGAUUGAGAUUGGUGGAUGGAUGCCAUUGUAUAUGUAAGGAACAGCCUUCGUUCGGUGGUUCUGUUUUGUAGCUAAAUCGCAUAUAAGAUGUGGCUUGAUAGUUUAUCAUGGCUUAGAUCCUCAUUGUAACUAUCUGCAAAUCAUAAAUACUAGUUUUUUCUCUCGGCCCCUCCCUUAGUCAUGAUAGAGCCCAAGCUUUUUAAUGGGCGUUAGAUUCAGAUUAAAUUUUAAUGUUGGGAGUUUGUCCUGUAGCCAAGGAUUAAAAUGCCUUUUCUUGUUAGAUGACUUUCUUGAUAGGUCAUGCAUCUCUAAAUUAAAUGCGCAAAGGCUCACAUAUUGUAGUUAGAAGCUUUGGCCGUUGAAGAUUAUGAAGCAUUGGUAUCCUUGCAUUUUCCUAGUUGUGAUCGUGCUUGUUUCAUACUACUUCUUACCUUCCUUCCUAGAAACUGCAUUUUCGUUUGUUUGAUAACAUUUUAAGAGAUAGCGAUGAAGAGUGCCUCUUGGUGCAGCUAACGUAGAGGAUUAUGUUAAGAAGGUUCAAAGACUCAAAUAAGUGGAAGUGGCAUCUUAUAGUGGCACAAUAAGAAUGCGUUUGGUAACCAUUCUAUUCUCAUAAACAAUUUCCACUUAGAAAUGAUUUUUUUUUUUUUUACUCAUGAGAACAAUUUUUAAGUAUUUGAAGGCGUUUGAUAAUUGCCAAAAAUUUCUAUUCUUAGAGUAAAAAUGCAUUUAGUAAAACCCUUAAAAUUUCUAGUUCAAAUCAUUUUCUUUUAAUCUUUUAAUAAUUUUUUAAAAUUUUUAAAAUUUUUUCUCUUUUUUCUUUUCUUUUUUCCUUUUCAUCUUCUCCUUCCUUUGGUCACUAGCCAUGGCCAGGGAUCGGCCAAACGAGGGCUAGCGACCUCGUGGGAGCGUUGUCGACCCCUAGUGACUUGAUCCACAAUGAGGCUUGUUGGCUCCAACCUCGCUAUGAGCUGAGUGAGAUCAAGUAAUGUCGACCUGGCAGUGGCCUAGCCAGGCUUGGCCUCACUAGAUCUGGGUGAGGUCGAUCUCGCCUAGCUAAGGCCAAGUCAAGCCUCGCCUAGCCAUGGCAAGGCUCGAGCUGACAAGCCUUACCCUAGCUACGCUUUGACGAGGUUGCUGGCCAUGGCUAAGGUUGACAAUCGGCCAAAAAGGAAGAGGAAAGAGAAGAAAAGAGAAGAGAAAAGAAGAAAAAUUAGAUUUGAUUUUGGAAUUAUUUUUAGAAAUAAAGAAGCAUUUUUUUUUUUAAAUUUUUUGAUUGUGUUCUAGAAGGAGGAAAGAGAAGAAAAGAGAAGAGAAAAGAAGAAAAAUUAGAUUUGAUUCUGGAAUUAUUUUUCAGAAAUAAAGAAGCAUUUUUUUUAAUUUUUUGAUUGUCUUCCAAAUUUAUUUCCGGGAAAAAAAAUUUAUCAAUAAAUGUCUAUUUCAAAUCUAUUCCCAAGAACCAAAUAAUAGAAUCAAUUACUAUCUAGACCAUUACAAACAAGCCUUAAGUGUAGACCAUUACAAACAAGCCUUAAGUGUCAAACCAAUCGGCACCACAUUGGAAAUAGAAGCCUGUAAUUGAACAAUAAGGUAUCUGGAUGGAACGAUAAGAUUUAUCUCGAGCUUUGAAUUUGUUCCUAGUCAUACUUUGGAGUUUAAUUCUAGCGCUCUUUGAUCAUACAAUGUACUAAUAUAUUCAGAUUUUUCCUUUUUGGAUAUCUUGGAAACAACCAACAAGGGUAUAAUUACACUACUCCUGAGGGUUCUUCAACUUUGAGGCAACCCAUUGUAUUGAGUAUAUCUCCUCUUGGGUUAGGAAUACUAUGGCCAAAUGCAUGGUUGUAUAGUGUAGUACCAUUUGAUUCUUCAAGCUCUUCAUUUUUUCUAAUAAGGUAGAUUUUGACACUUGGCAUCUAUGAGAUUAAGAUGUGAGUUUACUGUGAUGAAACCAGUGAUUUGGAGGAGCUCUUACUUCAUGUUGAUGAGAACUCAGAGGAAAUGGACAACUUGAACUUUGUAUGCUCCUGUGCAAUUGAUGUUGUUAAAGCCGGUGAAUUUGUACUCAUUCCUAAAGGACAACUUGGAAUAAUCCUACAACUCUUGGAGUAGAUAUCUAUUUGCCCGGAAAAUCACAUUAUAAUGUAUUAUCGGUUUGCAUUUAAAAUUUAUAUUGUGACAUCAAUCUUUUCUUAUUUUAGUAUAUAUCAGAUAAAGCCAAUGCUUCAAGCAUGAAGUCUAAAUUUCACUUGAAAUGAACUUAAUGAUGUUGAUAAAAGAGUCCGAACUAUUUGUGUUCCUACGCAAGAAAUCACCUAGACCAAGUUUUUUUUUUUUUGGAUGAUGAAAAUAACCUAGACCAACUAUAUGCUUAGGUUGUUUCCUAUAGUUGCACCUUCAAAAAAGUCAGGUAAACAAUUAGUAUGCUAUGUUCAAACUAUCUGCUAAAACCCUGAACGAGCUGUGAGCACUUUAUAUUUGGCAGUUUGUCCGCAUUGGAUGCCCUGAACAUGUCUUCAUCUGGUUAGGAUUUGACGAUGUAUUAGUUAGUUCGAUUGGCUGUCGCCACAUUUCAACUUUUAACCAAUAUAACUCGAUGAGAGUUGCUGAUUCUGCAUAUUGUACAUUCAGAUUACUUGUCUUGCUUGUGUGAUGGGUUUUACAUGUAAAGAUGUGGGAACUUCUUUUGCACAUUCGAAUAGCAAUGCGAUCUUGUGCUUGAGAACCACAGAGAGCAACAAACGUGAUUCUCCUAUUGUUUUGCUGGAUAAAAAUCAUCGACUGUGGUCAACGUAGUAGUGUUAUCUUCUAGGUGGUCCUGCAGUUUUAGUCUUGGGAUUUUAUUUUUUGCAAUUGCUUUUGCAAAUUGGAGUUCAGGUCGCUCUCCCUGCUGCAAGCAGAGUCCAUGUCCAAUGUACUUCCUGAAUGAGAUGUUCCAGAAUGAAAAGGCAAUUGGUAUUUUCGGAAAAGUGGUUCUUCAGAGUUCUUUGUCUUAUAACUUAAAAAAGUCCUUGUAAUACCACUUGUUCUCUCAAUAGGUUUUCUAUAUUUGUUAUCUCGUCGGUAGCAGAAGAGUUAUUGGCAUAUACCAACAUAAUACCCUAAGGGGGUGUGCAAACAAAGGCAAGAAAAGGUAUAAAAUUGAGGGGUGUAUGAUUAAUAUACGUAGGUAGUUUCCAACUGAUCAUUUACAUUCCCAAGUAAAAGCUGAUAUUUUGUCGAUGAAUUGUCCUUCACAGUUGUUUUCUGGCGAGCCUAGAUGCUCCCUUAGUGAGUUCUUAUGUUUGAACACUUCUUAUUUAGGGUUAAUAUCCUAAAAAACCUCAAAUUGGUACAUCUGUAAUAAAUUUACUCAAAAUUCUUUUUUUUUACCAUGAAAAACCAUAAACUAGUACACAUAUGACAAAUUUACUCUGACUAACCAUAAAAAAACAAAAAAUUGGUACAUUUAUGACAAAUUUACCAAAAACUAAUUUAUUUGACCGCAAAAAACUCAAAACCGGUAAAUUUGUAAUAAAUAUACCCUCCACUAAAUUGGAUUAAUACAAAAAAAAAUCACAAAAAGUGUAAAUUGUGACAAAUAGAGCGUAAAAUCCCAAAUUUGUAUAUUAAUUAAUUGUCAUGUGUCAUUUAACUUAAUAAUUUAACAAUAAAAUUUAAUAAAAGUUAAUAGAGGGUAAAUUUAUCACAGGUGUACCAGUUUGAGGUUUUUCAAGAUAUUAACCAUUUUAUUUAAUAAAUUCGUAUUUCGACCAAAAAAAUAAAAAAAACAGAGAAAGGCUGCAAACUAUGAAGCUUGGACACGCUAUCCGAGCUUCCGUCUCUUGUCUGACAUGCUCGGACACGCUCAGAAUGUGGUUAAAUCGUGUCAGAUUUUUCGAUGUAUGGUCAACUUUUUUCGACACGUUCUAACUUGCAUGCCCAAGAGAGGAUCGUUGAUGACAAGUGGAGGGAGGGGGAGAAACGAGGGAAAGAAAUCAGAGGGGUGACAUGGGGUGGAAGAGAAAAUUAAGGGAAAUGACAUGCCAUUCGAGGGAGAAAUGAGGAAAAGAAACUGCAGGGGGAGGGGUGGGUUUGAGGUGGCAUGGGGAGAGAGAAAUGAGGAAGGGAAAUAAAUUUUGGACAAUGAGGGUUUGGGAAAAAAAAAAGGAGGAAAAUAAUUUUUGGAUGGUGAUAUUAUAUUUGUUAAAAAAAUAAAUAAAUUAGCUAAAAAUAGUUUUCAAAAAUAAAAAUACUAAAAGUUAAAUAAUGAUAAAUUUUAAUUAUUAUAGAAUAUCAUAGAUUUUUUUUUUAAAAAAUAAAUUGAUUAUAAUUUUUUGUUAGUUAUUAAUUUCUUUUAUAAUUUUUUGUUAAAGUUAGAAAUAUGUUCUCAAAUAUGGAUGCACAUUAACUAUUAAUAUGUCUUUCAAAUUUCUUAUGAAUAUUUAUUAAUAUUAGUAGUGCAAAUUCAUUGUAAGUUCUUUUUUAUUAUUUAUUUAUUUGUGAAUUUGAAUCAAAUUAAUUAAAAAUAAAAAUAUUCAUUUAAUAUAUAACGUGUCUCAAUGUGUUGAAAUUCUCUAUUUUUUAAAAAUGACGUGUUGGCGUAUCAUGUCGUGUUGCGUAUUCGUGUCGCGUGUCCGUACUACUUAGACUACAAGUGUAUCCUGCAAUUUACUCCCCUGAGCUAUUGUCUGAUAACCUUGUCUUUUGACCAUGCAUCUCGUCACCAAAUCGUAUCCUUGGAUAGCUGUUAGAAUGUGUGCGGACUUCAAUGGUAGGAACCAAGCAUCGUAUUUUGUCGUCCUCACUGGAGUUCGCGACUUGGACCUAAGUUGGUCCUUAAAUUGCUCAAUGGAGGUAAAGGUGGGAGAACCGCCCAAGGGUGGGAGACCUCGUACUUGCCUCCCCAUCCUCUCGGUUGGGUGGUUAGACAUAGAGGGGGAACAUGGGGGUCCAUAGGCAGUGAAGGUGGGUAACCAAUCUCAAAAACAUUGCGUCUAUGGAAACAUAGGCUACGAUUGGGCUUGCAUGGGGUAACCAAUCCCUAUCCCUCGCCCGGUGUGAUAUAGAGUGGGUGAAACGCCCAUUGCUUGUUUGCCUCACCUAACGGCAUAGUAGCAUAACUUACUGGGCAAACAAGUCCCCCAGGUUAUGAUAUUGUGCUGUUGCACAGACAUUUGCGACUUGGCUGACCUGAGCAGGUCUUUAAACUGCUCCCCCGAUAAUGACGAGGUACCCUUGGGGAGUCUUCCCCUAAUGGGGUACUAGCUGAACUAGGUAGGGUCGCCCUACAAAGGGGACCCCCCAACCGUAAAAAAAACUAAUGGGGGUAGAGGUAGUUCCCGUGCCUCAAUAAAUAUAGCAGCUGGGUUUAAAACCCGUAAGACUAGACCUGAGCAGGUCAUUAAAUUGCUCCCCUAGUAAUGGUGGGGUACCCUUGGGGAGUCUUCCCCUGGUGGGGUACCAAUUGAAUUGGGCAGGGUUGCCCUACAUAGGGGCCCCUUGACCGUAAAAAACUAAGGAGGGUAGAGGUAGCUCCGUGCCUCGAUAAAUAUAGCGGCUGGGUUUACAACUUGUAAGACUAGACUUGAGCAUGUCCUUAAACUGCUCAAUGGAGGUAAAGGCGGGAGAACCGCUUAGGGGUGGGAGACCCUGUACUUACCUCCCCAUCCUCUCGGUCAAGUGAUUAGACGUAGACUGGGAACAUGGGGGUCCAUAGGCAGUGAAGGUGGGUAACCAAUCCCAAAAACACUGCAUCUGUGGAAACACAGGCUAUGACAAGGCUGGCAUGGGGUGACCAAUCCUUGUCCCUCGCCCGGCGUGGUAUGGAGUGGGUGAAACGCCCACGGCUUGUUUGUCGAACCUGACGGCACAAUAUCACUGGAGUUUGCGACUUGGCCCACUUGUCCAUUUGCAUAGACGUUGGCAUGGGGAUGAAAAGUCAUUACUCAUCUGGGGGUGCUAAUAUGUUCCAUCACUCAUUCCUAUUUUUCAGCGAAUAGAACCAUUCAACAAGACCUUUUUGUUCCAUUUGCAGGAGGGCAUGGAUAGUGAUAUAGCUCUCUUGCCUUUUGAUCAUCCGAUGGAGAUGAAGAUGAAGGUCCUUCGGUGUUCAUUUCUCUCGGGAAUAGUGUGAGGACUAGGCAUUAGCUAUUUCGCCUUUUCUUCAUGAGGAUGGAGUUGUAUCUCACUUUCGGGAAUUACGUUGCUUACACGAGUAGUGUAACGAUAAAAAAAGGGAAGUUCACGGGAAAGUUCUGAAGAUUUAUUAUAAUAUGAGUGCCGGUACAUGCAAAGUCAAAUCUAGACAAACCAAAGGCAAUGUUAUAUUAAUUCGAUUAUAUAUUUCACGGUUUUAUAGUCGCAUGCAUUUAAAAAGCACUAAACUGGUCAUUGAUUUAAGUAAAAGCCUAGUAAUGUCGAAUUGCCGAUUGUUCUGUCUGGCAGUUUAUGUCGGAAUGAUGCAAAUAUUUUAUUUGAAUUUUUUAGGCAAUUUUUGCUGGGCUUUAAUUAAUUAUACCGCGGCGAGGCAUUUUCAAUUCCACAUAAGGAAUUUCUUUUGGCCAAUCAAAUGAGUGAAACUUAUACCACAUGCGGGUGGCACGCUACUGAUUCAGGCAAUAAUUUUCCCCUCUGAUGUUGCGACAAAAUCUCAAACCUCUAUUAGCCCGUCUAUUCCAUAUAACAUAAAAACAAUGAAAAUGACACAAAUGAUCCUUAAAUUUUGAUUCGUUAUGUUUAUCUCUAAACUCUUAAUUCGUUUAAUGUCACCCUUGAAAUUUUAAACAUUUUAUAUUAUCUAAGGAUUAUAUUAAAUAUUUAUCAAUAGUUCAAGGACUACACUAAAUAAAUUAAAAGUUUAAAGAUGAUAUUAUAAUGUUGGCCAAAAUUUAAGGGACAUGUUGAAGAAAUUAAAAGUUCGUAAAUAAGGAUUAUUUGUGAUACUAUUCCUAUAGAAAUGAAGGAUGAGUUCACAACCAACUCGUCUUUAGAAAAGUUUCCCAUCCCCAAACGUUUCAAAUGACUUAUUAUAGCAGAGGGGUCAGUUGGCUUGAGCAUUACAGUGGGCCUUCCUCCAUUUCGUAUGUGAUCAAGGACAAUAGCGAAGGGCCUCGGGCGAAGAAUAACGCCACAAUGCACGGGGGCAUGUUUGCUUUAUCACUUUGUUUACACUGUAUGUCCUUUCCCGUUGAAAUUAAAUCGCAAUCCACAUGUUGUGAAAAGUCGUCAUAAAAUUUGUCGGUACACGUACGUGCCAAUAUUUAACUAUUGUGAAAUCGACAAGUCUCGAAUUUAGGGGCAGCAAAAUUUGAAUUAAGGGUAAAGUUAAAAGAAUAAAACACUUCACGGCUGACGUGGUGGUGACUUACGGCCAAAGUCGGAGACUAACGAUGGAAAACGCCAAGUACGCCCUGACUCGUGAAGCACACCCUCGUGCUGGCGAUGACGCUCGUUGGAGACUAGACGUGCUCGGAUGGGGACCAAUAUGCAAUAUGGUAACUUCAGGGAACUCUAACGCUAGUCUGUAAAGAUACAUGCCCAGCAUAAUUAUUUCCGUCAUUGAUUUGGGAGAACGAUAUAAAUGAUCUCUAAACUUUGGUCUAAUAUAUAAUAUAACUCAUAAACUUUUAAUUUAUUCAAUAUAAUUUUUAAAUUAUAAUUCAAUAUGUAAUAUAGUCUUUGAAUUAUUAACUUAUUCAAUAUGGUCUCUAGAUUUUUAGUAUAUAUAUAUAUAAUCCCAAAAUUAUAUGAAAACGUUCAAUUAUUUCAUUCCAUUAAUUGAAGUUCAAUUGCAAUAUUGAAUAAUUUUAUAUUGUUUAUGGACUAAAUCGAACAAGUACACAUUGAGCAAAUUAAAAGUUCAAUGAUUAUAUUAUACAUAGGGUUAUAGUUUAGGGACCACUAAGCAAAUUAAAAGCUUAGGACUAUAUUGCAUAUUGAGCCAAAAUUUAUAGAACUUUUACGUUAGUUUUCCCCGCCCAUCAUGACGGGUGAUUCUCUCAAAAGUAAUAACCAGUCUGGAAAAUUGUCCAAAGAGUUAUAAACUUAUUAUACUUUUGCCAAUUUAUACCUAAACCUUUCACUUUUUACUAAAUGAAUCUAUUUAGCCGAUUUUGGUUGAAAUUCGCUAACAUGGACAUCGAGCAUCCUAUGUGGUACGAUUGACACUGAGAUGGCAAAAUUUAUCAUUUUAAAAAUAUAUAUUUUAUAUUUGAAUUUUAUUUUAAAAUUUUUUCUCUUUUUUUUCCCCUCUAUCUCUCUUCUUCCUCUCUGCAAGUUGCCUAGCCUCUGACUAUCGGCCAAAGGCUCGACCGGUGAGAGUCAGCCUUGCCAUCCUCAGGCGAGGUCGCCCUCACUAGGAACUAGCAAGGGGCAACCUCGUCACCCUCACACGAGGUCAAAGGGAUGACCUCGCGGGCCUUGGGCAAGACUUGUCCUCGCCAAAUCUAGCUUGCCUUCCCAGAUCCAAUGAGCGCAAGCCUCACCCUCACCCAAGGCUUGCGAGGUUGUCUUUCUAUCCACGUUAGUGAAUUCCAAUUAAAAUUGGCUUGAUAGACUCAAUUAGCAAAAAGUGAAAUUGUUUAGAACUCAUUUGAUAUAAUUAAAAGGUUUAGAACUGAAUUGAUAAAAGUGCAAUAAGUUUGGUAUUAAUGCAAAUGGUCCCUACAAAGAAUUGGCCACUUCCUUUGUCGGAUAAGGGGCGCUAGUCUUUGGCUUUAUCAAGACAUGGGUGCAAAUGUGCUUUCAAAAUUGCACCGAAAUACAUGGGAAUGCAAGCCUAGGCACUGCUCAUCUUACCGCUUGACAUUCCGAAGCCCUUCGAGGGCAAAUGAAUCCACGGACAAUCUGAAAGCAACGAUACUUCCCCAUGCAUUUCACGAGGUCCCUUCAUAGAUUUAGUUAACUUACGCGGGAGACCGUACUGGGGAGUCGGCAGCACCCCAUCCGAAUUCCACGUCUCAAUUGCCUGGAACUUGCGCGGCAUGUGGGCGAUGAGAUUUGACAAUUCUAAUCUUUUGAAAGGGAUGACGAGGUUUCUAUGGAUCAAAUUAGCAUGCAAGGCCUGGUCAAAUUAAUAGGAAUUUUAUUUUAAAAGUUUCCAGGACCAAAAGUUUUAACAUCGUCAAAAUCACUCCAUCAAAGAUUAAAUUUAUAUAAUGAUUGGAAGAAUGUAUUUGAGGAAUUUGAUUGAUCUCAAUGAAAUAUACGAAGCACUGCAUGCUAAGUGGAAAAUUGUCUAAAAAGUCAUAAGUUGAUUAUACUUUGACUAAUUCAUUUCUAAACAUUUAGAUUUUGUCAAUUGAAUUAUAAAUCUUUUGACAAUUUAUCAAUUGAGUCCAUAUGACCAAUUAAGUUAUAAAUUGCCGACGUGAACAUUAGUUGUCUUAUGUGAUGUUGCCAACACUAUCACGAACACAUAGUUGUCUAUGUGGACGAGGGUAAAGCCCUUGCCAAAUCUAGGCAAUGGCUGCCCGCAGUCGGUAGGGCUACAAUGGCCCUUGCCCAAGGACUAAAUGGCACCAUUAGCAGUGGCCCUCACCCAAGUGGGAAGGCCUUUGUGGCCAAAGAGGGCUGCUAGCACCAAAAAUAAAACAAAACAAAAUAAAAUAAAAUAAAAAUAUUUUUAAUUAAAAAAUAGUUUUUAAUUAAAAAAAAUUAUCCCAUUCAACAUCAAUGAUAUCACUUGGCAUCCAGGUCAAUGAUUUCCAAACAAAAUUGAUCGAAAUGAGUCAAUUAACAAAUUGUCAAAAGUUUUGUAACUCAAUUGGUAAAAUUGGAAAGUUUAAAAUUGAAUUUGUCAAAGUAUAAUAGGUUUAUAACUUUUUUUAAUAAUAUCUCUCAUGCUUACAUGAUGUUACAAAGUGGAAAUUGACAUUUAGAUAAAUGAGUCAUAUUUUAUUCCGACAAUCAUUUAACACAUCGAUUACUACAUUAAUUUGUGAAAUCAAUUUUACUAUGAUUGGUAUUGCUCGUUACAGACUUUCCUUUUUUUCGUAUGGUCCCUCUUCAAAGAGAGAGGAAGAGAUGGAGUUGCAAGAAGGGCCAGAGAAAGGUAGCAAGCAAAAGGAACUCUCCUAAGCAUAGUGAUUCAAAAGAAAACGGAUUUUCAAAGGCGGAGUCGCAGAGAAGUGAUUUGGCAACCAUGCCAGCUCGUCUCCCGUGUCGAAAACGUCCCCCGGAGUCACAGUCAAAUGAACAGCAAAACGUUUUUCUCGGACAAAUUAUUUCGUCCUUAAUCAUAUUUUAAGAAAAAGAUGGAAAAAGACAGCGCAUGGCAUAUAACGGCAAUCCAUACGAAGAAAUCCCCCAAGCUGACUCCACGACCUCCGUCACGUUCUCCAUCUCUCUCUCUCUCUCUCUCUCUCCUGUCUUUCCGCGAGUUUCUCUUCCUCUAUAAUCAACGUCCAAUCUUCAGGAAAAGAUCCAACUCGCCGGCCAGGCCUACCGUCCUGGUAGCCUGGUAGGUGUCCGACUUGACUCCCUUCACAAGGUCGACAUCAUAAUUGCGUUACGGGGUUGAAGUUCAUUUCGCUUCCCGCUCUCCAUCAUCUCUCUCCCGUCUGUUGUCUGCGAGUUCCCUCGUGUCUGGAAAUCAACGACCCAUCUUCAGGAUGAUCCAACUCGCCGGCCUGGCCUCACGUCUUGGCGGGUCUCCGACUCAGACCCCGACUCCCGCGACUUGACCCACUUCUCAAGGCCGUCAUCAUUCAAACGAUAACAAAUUCAGGGUUGGUAUUCAUUUCAUUUCCCACUCCACGGGCAAAACAGGGAACCAUGGACUCCGAAGCUUCAUCGUAACAGCCUCCUCCUCCAUUCUCCUGCUCACCUUGAUUUCCGGCGUUUCCACGUUUCAAAUUACGUUUUCAUCGUGUCAACGUAGCCUCACUUGGCAUGUUUCAAACAAUGUAGUCCAAUGGCUAUUUACGGUGAUCUUGCUUAUUGAAAUGGUAUCGCGUAGCAUGUGGAUCUACCUAGACUAUUGAUCACGUGGACGUGCAUAAUAAACAGCUUUAAUAUUAGCAAUUUGCGUAGUCUAUAGAUAAUGUAAUAUAACUUGAAUUAAUCUUCCAUCUUGUAUUAAGUGAAUGGACUUCUUCCAAAAUCAUCUAAAGUCACAACUCUUUAAGGCAACGAUAGCAUCAAAUGGGCCGGACAUCAUGGUUUAUAAAUAUAUGGUUGAUAAGCAAUAGUUACGCAUCAUAUUUGCUUUAUGGGUUUGGUACUAAAGAGUGCUAUACUUUUUUUUUUUUGAAUGUGUAAUAAUUAAUUUACUUUCGACCCCUAUAAUUUUGAAAUAUUUGAAUUAUUACAUAAUGAAGCAAAAUUAUCGAUAAGAAUACAUAAUGUGAAGAAACUGUAUAAUUUUUUUUAUGGAAAGAGAACAAGAUUUUCAUACUUGAACGUAAUGCGUGUCAUUGAGAGGGAGAUCCAAAUAUUUGCAACAUCUUACCUAGCUAUGGAAAAUAGAGGGCAUAAUUGUACGGGACUACCAUAGAAUUUCCUCAAAUUCCCCGGGCAUACUUGUCUAGGCAUUUGAUUUUAUUGACAACUAAAUCAAUAUUAGGUGAAUUUUAGAGUCUAUAAAAUAUCCUAGUAACUUUAUUGGUUAGUUAAGAUGGGAAUCAUGAGAUUAAGCGAAAAAAAAAACUAUUAACUAUUUGACUUCACUAAAAUGAAAAGUACUAUUUUAGUUUUAGGAGAUUUAAACAGUUUUACAAGAUUUUAAGGGUGCACAUAAUAACCAUUCCAUUUCUCUGUUUUCAAUUUUUCAAUUUUGGGAAACAUAUUUGGAACAAAAACUCGUUUGAUAGUGCAACUUUAUUUUUUUAUUUCUAAAACAAAUUUUUGGUCUAGAAAUAAAUUUGGAUAAGAGAUUAGAAGUAAAAAUUAUUUACUUUUAUAUUUUUGGCACAAAAAAAAAAAAAAAACUCUUCUCUAACCCUCACUGCUAGUUGGCCACCCACCCACCAUCCACUGCUGCUUGCCAUCUGCCCGCCAUCCACUGUUACUCACCGUUUGCUGCAGUCACUCGCCAUAGCCACUUGAUGUUCACCAUGCACCACUAACUGCUCAAGAGAGAGAAAUUUUGUAUCGUUAGCAAAUGAAUUUUUAUUUCGAGAGCAUAAAAUUUGUAUUGUUAUCAAACGCGUAUUUUUAUUUAAAACUCAUUCAAGAACAAAAAUAGAAAAAUUAAUUGUAGUUAGAAAUUGAUUUAUGGAACAAAAUAGAUGUCAUUUGCAUUCUAAAAGGUCUCAUAAGUCAAGUUUUAGAGUGUACAAAAUUAAUAGACAUUUCAAAAUUCGUACACCAUGACAAGAACAUAAUUAAAAAUAAAAAUUUAAAAGUCGUUCUAGCUAGACAUAUCUUUGAAAAUGGGAAGGCAAAGCCACUCCCACAACGGAGACAAUGACGAGACCAAAACAUUCGACAGAAAGAAGAAGAAGAAGCAAAACACGGGUCAAAUACACAAAGAAACCUCGUCCUAUAACUUACUUUUAUUAGCCUCCGGUCAAUUACGGCACCUAUGAUAAUCAUUUCAUUUCUAGCCAAAAUUAUUUUUCUAUUUCCAAAAAAUAGGUUUGAAAUAGGAAUCUAUUUGGUAAUGUAAUUUAUUUUCUAUUUUUUAAGCAAAUUUUUAGUUCAUAAAUAGAUUUAGAAUAUAAAAAAUUUUCACUUAUUUAUUUCUAGAGUAGAAAUGUAAAAUCAAAAUUUUUCUCAUCGUUCGCUUUCGCUACUAACUAACCGCCCACCCGUUGUCACCAGCCAUCCACCGCUGGCACUUGAGAGGGAGAAAGAAUUUCUAUUCUGAGAGUAGAAUUUUUAUAUUGCUAUUAACUACCUAUUUUUGUUGAAAAACUUAUCCAGAAAAUCUGAUUAGAAAUUGAUUUUUGGAACAAAAUGGUUCUCAUCCAUGCCUUUAACAAAGAGAUGAGUUGCUGCAAAAUUUCCGAAGAUUUAAUAGUAAUACCAGUGCUGGUGGAUAAAAAUUCAAACCUAUAUUCUUGAAGUGCCCUCACUAAAAAAGUGAUGGAGAGAAACGGUCGGGAGAUGGCGCGAAGAUGGUGUAAGAGCGGCCACUGGAAGGUACAAGCAACUCUCUUGAUCUUGACCAUGUGACUUGGCCACCAUGCCAGCUCGUACACUGUUUCGGAAGUAUCCUCCAAGUCAUCGUCAAUUACGAAAGCAACUGGUUCUUCGGAAAUAUCCUCCAAGUCAUCGUCAAUUAUGAAAGCAACUGGUUCUCUCUCUCUCUCUCUCUCUCUCUCUCUCUCCCUGGUGCUUUGACGUGGCUUCAUUAUAGACGUGGCUUCAUUAUAAUUGUUAUGCAACACUGAGAAGAGAAACGGGUACAAAACUGCUUUCUCUUAAGAAGCCAUAGGAUUGUCGGGAACCGAACAGAGUUGCAUACGACUGAGCACGACGGCUGAAUCAUGGACGCCGAAGCUUCAUCGUAACAAUCUCCUCCCUUCUCCUGCUCUCCUCAAUCUCCGGCGUUUCCAUGUUUCAAACUGCUCUUCCUUCCUUAACCUUUUUGCUCUGUUUUUGCUUCUCUUUUCCUUUUCCUUUGUUGUCUUGGAAAGGUUCGAGACAAGCGAGAUGAUGGGGACUUUCCUGGCUUCGACGCCGCUGCUGAAGGAGGCGUGGAGGCUGUGCAGCGCGGCGAAUGCGAUGGAGAGCGGUGCCUUCGUGGUGGAGCAAGUCGGGGGCGUGGGGUACGUGGCAUUCUCGGGCGUCCAAGAGAUGCCGGUGCUUGGUUGGGAUCCGAGUUGCACCGUGCUGGCGCCGCUGGAUGCAGCAGGCCACGGGCUGUUCGCGGCGUUGACACGCCGCUACGAAGGUGAAGAGCCCGUCAUGGUUCACUCCGGAGUGCUUCACCGCUUCCUUCAUUAUCAUUCGCGCAAUGAUCUUCAGAGCCAGGCUAGUUCAUCGGCAACAACUUUACUUUAUUUAUUCAUUUAUUUCUUUUUUACUUUUUUACCUUAUCUAACCAAACAUAAAGUAAAAGAGAUAGAUAUCUCACGACUGAUCAGAUCACUCAGGAAAAUCAAAUGAUAAUUUUCGUCAAACUAUAUUAUGAGAUUAGUAAUUCCUAUAAUUUUUCCUCGCCUUUCUAGGUUCUACAUAUUUUUCCAAAUUCAUUAGAAAUUCAAAAUUAUCUUUUCAUAUUGUCAUUGACUCUUUUCAAAAAAGUAAUCAUAUAAAAUUUUUGUGAGACUGAUGAUGCUGAUGGUUAAUUUUUUAUUUUUAUUUUUAUUUCUGAACUUCUAUCUUGAAGCUAUCUCAAACUUUCGCGAUGGCAACAUCUCUAGUGGCAGUACCUUAUUUCCUUUUCAUUCUAGAGCUCUUUUUUUCCCACGAUUACAUUAUGGAAAAAUUCCAAAUAAGGGCUUGAAGUGCUAUCAUUUAAGAAAAUAAGAGUCUAAAGUGAAAAUUAUUUCAAAUAAUGGUAUAAAGUUACCAUAUCAGUCUAAAAAAAGAGCCUAAAACGAUUAUGGUUAUUUUAAAUAAGGGCCUAACCUCAUCAGCCAACAAAUAAUUCCAACUAAUCAAGAAUAUUUUUGUCCAAAAAUAAAUUUAAUUUAAAUCAAAUUAGAUUAGAAUUAAAAAAAAAAGAUAACGAAAAAAAAUAGGCAGUCGCCGCCCCAUCAUUGGUGGGGCAGUAGCCACGGGCGAGAGGGAGCUCGCCCGCUUGUAUUUUUCCUUCUUAUUUUUUUUUUCAUUUUGUUUUUAAUGGAAAAAAUAGAAAAAGGGAAAAUACAAAAAGAUGGGAUUGCCCUUUACUAGCUGGCAAGUUCACACUCUUAUUUGAAACAAAGUCUAAUUCAUGUUCUGAUUUAGAAGAAAAGAGAAAGUACAUCGAGCAUUUAUUUGAAAUAAUAUCCACUUUAGAUCAUUAUUUGAGAAAAUAAUUGCACUUUGUAUCUUUAUUUCGAAUUUUCCCGUAAAGUAUUAAACUUUAUUAAGCCAUGGCCUAUCUGAAGUGGGCUGGCCAAGCUCGGGCCCACGAUUUUGUCCUUUGGGCCUAUCCACGUUGAUCAAGUAUGGACAACAGCUCUAAUGGCCCAUUUGGUCCUUGAUAACCUCUAGGUCCGAAUUUUGAAUUAUUGUGGAUCCGAGGAUUGGUUUGGAGUUAUAUCAAACCGAGCCAUUCAUGAGACAGAAUUCUUGGUCGUGAAUGGUGCUCUUCUCAUGAGAUUAUCUAAAUACAAGGGCCAUACAUAUAAAUACAUUCUAUGCACGUGUUAAAACUUAUUUGCACACUUAUCAUUAGUUUGUUGAACAUGUUAGUGUUGCUUUGACUUGCUUAAUAAACAGUUUUGUAUGUUGAGCAAUUGCAAUACAACCAAUGAUUUCCUAUUUGAUCUAUUCAUUUAACUCUUCUAAUCUGACAUGAUCUGGUGCGAGUUGAUUUUUUAGUGAAGUGUUGUAAUUGAGAUUUUUCCAAAAAGUAUUUAACCAGAUUUUAGGAAUUCUUAAAUAUGUAUGCAGAUUGGUAGCCUGUUGGAUAAUACCAAGUCAAUAGUGAUCACAGGCCACUCCAUAGGAGGAUCAAUCGCAUUUCUAAUAGCUCUUUCGCUUCUCUCCUUCCUCAAAUCCAUCUUCCCACUCUCAGUCCUGUGCAUUGGUUUCGGCUCUCCUUUCCUUGGCAACGAGUCACUUUCCCGAGCCAUUCUUCGCGAAAGAUGGGCCAGCAGCUUCUACAAUGUCGUGGCAAUGCACGACAUAUUGCCGAGGUUAUCUCUCGACCAAUCACUUGUUCAGACUCCACGUUGGAAGGCCCUCAUAAGAUUUUGGUACACAUCUAUGAUGUCACCAAACUCUAUGAAUCUCGCUGACUUCCAAUUAACUAAAGAAGACAAGGCCUGGCUAUUUUCCUUCGCUACAGCCAACAUGGAGCGCUUAGCGCAGGUAGGGGAAGGCUCAGGAGGGAGGUCGCCUUGGCCCUUAGGGAAUUACUUGUUUUGUUUGGCGGAGGGCAUGAUUUGUUUGGACAACGCUGUAUUGGUCAAGAAGAUGAUGCAUUUGAUGCUAAGGACAAGCUCUCCAAGUUGUGUUAUUGAGGAGCACCUUAAGUAUGGGUGGUAUGUAGAGAAGCUUUCUCUUCAGUCUUUAGGGAGAAGGUUCAUAGAAGGAGAUCUCUUUGAAUCAAGCUAUAAAGCAAGUCUUUCGAUGGCUUUGAACUCCUCGGGGACAUCUCAACAGGUAGGGAUGGUACCUUAGAUUGACAAGGGACUGUGAUCUAUGUACACUUUUUAUUCCCAAGUGCAAUUCCUCUGAGUUUAAAGAUUCUUUCACCUUUACUUUGUAGGUAUUGAUUGCACCGAUGACAAAAGAUUGUUUGAAGAUGGCAAGGCAAAAGGAGUGCCACCCAAACCUAAACGCCGCCUAUUUAGCCACUAAGCUAUCCAAAAUUGCUCCUUACAGGGCGGAGAUACAGUGGUAUAAAGCUUGUUGCGAUAACUCCGACAAGCAAAGAGGAUACUAUGAUUCUUUCAAGCAAAGGGGGGCCUCAAAGAGAGAAUCACAUAUAAACAAGAACCGAAUCAUGCUUAAGGUCUUUUGGGAUGGUGUUGUAAGCAUGAUGGACAGGAACGAGCUCCCACUCAACUUUCACAAAAGUUCAGAAUGGGUAAUUGAGGAGUCGCAGCUCUAUAAGCUCCUCGUGGAGCCAUUGGACAUCGCGGAGUAUUAUCGAUCGGGGAUGCAUCUAAAGAAAGGCCACUACAUAAGUAAUGGAAGAGAGAGGAGAUAUGAAAUUUUCAAUCAGUGGUGGACCGAGAGAGUUGUUAUUGAGAAAUUGGGCAAUAGGAGGACCAGGUACGCAAGCUUGACUCAAGACACUGUCUUUUGGGCAAAGGUGGAGGAAGCAAAAGAGUGGCUAGACAAAAUCAAAAGUGAAAGCGACCCAAAUAACCUGACUUUUUUUCGGGAUAGACUCAAUGAGUUCGAAGCAUAUGCAGUGAAGUUGUUUGACCGAAAAGAGGCGUCUACUGAUGUUCUGGCUAAGAAUUCAAGCUUUAGUUUGUGGUUAAAAGAAUGGAGAGCAUUGAAUUCACAGAUUUAUCCCCUAAUCGAAUUGGCCUUACCUGACUGAUUCCAAGCCGAUUCCCAUGGAGACCUAUUCACUUCUUGGUAAAAAUUCUGGGAACGGUCUUCAAUGUUGGUAAAAGGUAGUGGAAUAAAGUUUCGUGAUGAGAUGAGAUGUGGCUGAACAACAAAAAAAGUACGUCCUGAUUUUAUGUAUUAGGGAGGUAAUCGAAUGUUCCGUCCUCUGUAGCCGCAAUACUUUUCCUCAUUCGACUUGCUCCUUUAUUUGUGCCGGAGCAUAAUAAUAUGAUGCUUUGAACGGUUUGUGAUCCUGCAUAUGCCUUCUGAAACCACUCAUAGGAUUAAUUCCCUGCACCAAGAUUUGCUAGAUGCUUGGAAGUAGAAAUGCAACAGGAAACAGAACAAGAAGCAACCAGAAUGAGAAAUCCACAAGCCUGAGUGCUGAUGCCAGCAUUUAGGCCUAUGGCUUCGAGCCAAGCGCGACAUCAUGAAGCAAAUGGACAUCUGGCUGGGGCAGGCAAGGUGCGCAGCCCAUAAAUAAAGGGAACCAAUCGUCUGUUAACAGUUCACAGAGAUAAGAUCAUUAAAUAUCUUGGACAAGCAUCAACUUCUUUCGAAAGAAACCCUCCAAAUAGCAUAAAUAGAACUUAUAUCGAGGGAAAUGAAGCAUUUAGUAGUUUGGAGGACGUUCCUAACUUCCUAUAAAUUCUUUUGGAAAACAGAACAGCAUCUAAGUUUCGAGAAAAUGGUUUUACAUGCAGCAAUUUCCCCUCUCUAAAGUGUUGUUGUUAAUCUUCUUCAGUCAGUUCUGCUAGCUUUUCUUGAAAUAGAAGUGCAAAGAAUCUCAUUAAGGUUCAAAUUUGGCAACAUUUCAGCUAUGAAAAGAGCUUUGCAGUUCGGAGUUUCCCCAGCAUAACUUCCUGUAUCCUUUCUGUUUGCUUUUCAAAAUUGUUUUUCUUAUAAGAUGAUAUGACUAGAGGAGUCUAUUUCAGACCCAAAAAAGAUUCCUCUUUCACGUUCAUAUGCUCUGAUAAACAUUUUUUUUUUUUAAGAGUAAUGACACCACCUGCAUAUGUUUUGAUCUUUCAAACAACCUUUGAAGCGUGAAAAGGUACUAAAUGCGCAAAAGGAAACUUGGGAAGAUGAAUCCGACCAAAAAAAAAAAAAAAAUCUUGGGAAGAUGAAACUAAUUGAGCAUCGCUAGGCAGAUAAUUCAAAACGAGUAGAGCGAAAGCGCCAUACUAGGUGUGGUAAAAAGCACUGCCUAAUCAGUAACUACUAAUCAUUGAUAGGAGAACACCUAGACAUGAGAAAUUCUUGUAGGUAGGUAGAAACACAAGUGGAAAUUGUGAUGAUAUAAAGCCUCUUAGUCAUCAUCCAUGUCCUGACCUAACUUCGGGUGCACUAAGGGUUUAGCUAUAGCUCUCUUAAAUCCAUACUAAUUUGCGGCUUAGAUUCAAUUUCUUAACAUAUAAAUGAUUUUUUAAUUAGAAAUCUUGGUGGGUCGAUUAAAACCAAGUAAAAUAAUGAGAGAUUUAAUUUAGUGUGUUCAAAGACUUGAUUACACUAAAAUUUUCUAAUGCCAUUUCGGUAUAUUUUCUUUUUUAUUCCAAAAAAAUGUUUUGCAAGCAGCUUGUAAGGUAAGGUGACAAUGCAAGUGCACAAAUUAUCAAUUUAAUACUUAAGAAAGCAAUAAAUAAAUUGCAGGACUUACCAUGUAGAAACGAAAGCAUCUGUAAUAUUAACUCAAAAUGCACAUUAACAACCCUAGAUACGAUUUCUAAUUAACAUGAAGUCACUCAAUUUUUUAGGAUUUUAUAUUAUUUAAUGAUAUCUAAUAUACGUGCAAUGCAAUUUAACCUAAUGGCCUAAUUCUAAUAACGGAAAUUUUUUAAUCAAAUGGACCUAGCAAUAAUCACUAAAUGACAUGUGUUUUAUGAACCUAAUUCUAUAUGACAUGCACAUGAUAUUUUUGUAUCUUUUAUUAAAAUUCGUACUUAAAAGUUGCUAAAAAUAAAAAUCUACCUAAAGUGAGAUAUUAUCUACUUUUAAGUUAGGAAAUAAACUAAUUAAAUUCUAUCUUAAUUUAGAAAAUCCUAAUUAGAGAUAGGCAUAUAUUAGGCAAUAAAAUACCCAAAUCAAAUUUAGAUAAGAUAAUUACAUAAUUUCGCAAGUAAAAUUGCCAAAUUUGAACUCAAUGGAAUCGGCUCGAAGGAUGACAACAAAAUUUGAUUCUUUUUACAAAUUUGAUAUUGGAAAUCCACAAAUCAAGAAAUUCAUUUCAGAUAAUUGAACCUUCUCAAACUAUUUCUUCUUAAGAACCAAAAAUAUUUGUGCCAAAGUAACAUAUGCCAAGAAGAACAAUAGGACUUGGACACGUAAUGAAUCUUAAAGUACUAUUCCACAUCUCCUUGACCAAAUCCACCCACAUUAGGAUUACUUGUUAAUGGCUAAUCAAGUUUGAUAGAUUCACCUUCGGAAACAAUAAGUUCUGGCUUGAGAUCAUAGCCAGCUCCACUGACGAAGUUCUGGCUUGAGAUUAUAGCCAGCUCCACUGACGGUGAACGGCGGCGGCGCUCGUGGACUGGAGAGAUGCUGCGACUAUGCUGCAGUUUAAAAAUUAAUUGCUCCAAUUUGGUAAACCUGCAAAGGGGAAGAUAAGUGCGAGAACGAGCGUUUCUCCAGUGUUGUUAGAAGAUCUCGAACGCGGGGGAAGAGCUGCAGGAAGCCACCAAGAACACUUUUAUUUUGACCAAGCCCCUCGACUGAUUCCACGAUCAUCACUUGGAGUCUACUGGACGUUCUGAAAAUCUUUCUUUCUUAGCUUUAUUUCUCAGUCCACCACGAUCAGAGUCAGUUUCUUAAUGAUGCUCGACGUCGCACAUGAGCCAGAUGUCGAUGGAAAUCGUUGAUGAAGGUUGCACUUGUUGUGACGCCACGGAUAUUGAAAAACCAGAGGAAAGAGUUGUUAAUAGGCGACCCUCAAGUGAUGAAAAAUCGGCAACGGUGCAAGGAGGCAACAGCUCGUCGUCGGGGCUCUGUUGUUCAAGCACGUCAGGGCAUUGCGGCUCGAAGGGGCAAUGAGCAUUAACAUCACGGGGCUUGUGUUAACAUCACGGUAGGGCUUGAUUACCCAUUAGAAAUGAACAAUGGUUGUCACGAAAAGGUAUGAUACGCGAAAAAAAUUAUGCGUGGAAUAACAGCUACUUUAAAGAGAAAAUAUGGAUCCCAAAAUGUACGAUCACACAAUAUAAAUAACACAUCGUGACAGGGCUUGGUGUCGGCUUGGCACGUCGGGAACAACAGGUUCGCCAAGGGGCUCGAUGUCUUGAUGGGCGGUUCAGGCGCUCGCUGGAGACUGGAGUACGUGGUCGCAGCUGAUUUCGCCGGUGGCUUUGCCAAGAGACGUGUCUCUUUCUACCGGCGGUGUCCAAGUAGUCCACGCGACCAUCCAUGAUCAUGAGGAAUUGUAAAAAUAAUAAAGUGGAGUCUGUGAUUUGCUCGAAGAAAAAGGAGCCAGAGGCAUGAAUGUGGUGAUGGAAGGAGAGAAAUAUUGUUAAAAAAAUCUGAAUUGGGGCAGUCGCUUCUCUCUCUCUCUCUCUCACGCUUUCCUUUUUUCUUUCGUGAAUGAACGGGCUCUCCCUUAGAAUUGUGGCGCCCCUCUUUAGACAAAAGAAAGGACCGCCUUUUAUACACCAAGCGACGGGGUUUCCUCCAAGGAAAGAAGCAAUAUCUCUUUUCCUCUCUUUCCAAACCCAUAUCCAGGGCAAGAGAUACAAUUUCCUUCUUUCUUACUAUUUUUUCAUUGACCGAAUUCCUCCCACUAUCCUCACAAUUGACCGUGUCCCGUCUUCCUCACAUUCACUUCCCGAAAUAACCAUGAAAGUACAUAUUCUGCAAAAAUUGUUGCCAACUUAAAUUUUCCACGCCCGCACGCUUGUGUCUUCUUUAUUUUCACUCUUAUUUUCAAUAUUUCAUCCGAAAUCUUCCCUUUUGUGCAAAAUAUAUUCCUUAGUGUAUAUAUUGCAUAUAUAUAUAUAUAUGAAAUAUUUAUGGAAUAUUGAAAAGAUAAUACGAAUCUUUUUGAAAAUAUCAAAUCACCAUUCAUCAUAAGUCAAUUUUCGGUUAUCAAGAACAACGGGCUUGGGCCAAUUCCCUUUCUCCAUGGCCUUAGUCCAACUUGUCAACUUAAAAUUUAAAACAUCAAUUCAAAUCUAUCCAUCACUAGUCUAAUGCAAUAAUAAAAAGUAAAUGCUCCUAAAAUCAUAUGUUAUGCAUUUUAAUUCUAAUGUUUUUGUUUAAGGGUUAAACAUUAAUCCAUAAUUUUCUAUAUAAUAAAUGAAUGAUCGGGACGCUGUGUCAACAUACAAAGGCUAUUUACAAAAAGCAGCUUUCAUUUUACUUCGCCUAAGAACAUAGAGAGUGAUACCAUUUGCUUCUUGGAACGCGUCGUUGUAGUCAUUUAAGAGGUGAACUUUGCCACCAGAAACACAAGUUAAGUAGUGAGAUAAGACAAGAUGCUAAAAGGAAUCUUGAAGUGCCCUUGCUUGCCAUCAUCUCUACAACUCAAAAUCUCUCUCUCUUUGCCACCAGAAACACAAGUUAAGUAGUGAGAUAAGACAAGAUGCUAAAAGGAAUCUUGAAGUGCCCUUGCUUGCCAUCAUCUCUACAACUCAAAAUCUCUCUCUCUCUCUCUCUCUCUCAUUUAUCAUGUUGAUCAUCUCUUAUGCAUUGUAUAGACUAUUGAGUUCAAAUUAUUUACUCACAAAUUUAGAUAUGAAACUAAUAGUCCUAGCCUUUCUGAGUAAGAAAUCCAUACCGUCACCAUGUAUACGACAAAUAUUCAUUGAGGAAACUUAAAAAAUUUACUGCAAAAAGAUACUUCCCUUCUACGUUUCCUCUUAAUGAGACAGCUUCAAGCAUGAUAUCUACACAAAUCUUCUCAGCAGUUUGACCGUAAACCAAAUUAUCAUCAUUAUCACUUUCUAGAGGACAGAAAUAUAAUCACCAUCAUCCUUUGCUCUUAUGAUACUACGGUUGGGAGUUUAUCCAGAAUGACAGUUGGCCUUAAUUUUAAAGAUCUCAUAUAAUAUUGUGAAUUAACUUGGGUUAUAACAAGUUGUCAAAAAAAAUUCCCAGCCAAAAGAUCAAAUCUUCUUUCCUCACUAUAAAGUAUUAAAACAAAAAAAAAUCUUCCUUGACGAUACUAUAGAUUUCAAAGAAUAAUUUAUUUGCUUAUUAUUAACCCCCUAUCACCGCUAAAGCCAACAACCAACGGCGAACGAGGGUACCGAAGUUCUUGUCCAGGUUUGGAUUUUCCAUUUCUGAAUACAAUUUAAAUAAUAAAUAAAAAAAAUCGUUGUGUUGGAGAGAGCUUCUCGGCCUUUGCUCUGUUUCCUUCUCCUCUGAGGAGUGAAAAACCCAAAAGCCCUUCACUCUCCUUCGUUACAUCUCCGCCCGAGGUCAAGAGCGCCGAGUGCGUGUGAAAUCUUCUCGUUCUAAUUGUCAUUUUUUUCUGUAAUUUAUUUCGUAAAAUUCUCCACCUUGAUUUGGCUUCAUGAAGUUGGUAAGUCUCUCUUUAACAGGUGUUCUUAAUGCACGUCCUUCUGUCAAUUAACGUAUCCGGUGCUCACAUUCAGUUUAAUUUGAAUUUGGAACAUACCCCAUUAUGCAGACAUGCUUAAGCAGAGGUAAAAGCUUUCACUUUCCCCAAUGUCCGGGUUUAGGAUCUUGACUGAUUGUCCCCCAGACCUCUCUGCUCUCGCUGCUUUCGCCCCCACACCUCCCAGAUUUUCUGCUGUGCAAGAAGAAGAGGAUUUUGGACCUUCAGCUGAUGGAUCCGAUGGCUGUGAGUCUGGGAAUGAAGAAAGGGAGAAUACUGAGAAAUCCAUGAAUGCAAACUGCGGACUCGGACACAAUUCUUCUCAGCAAUUCUACCAAGAACCAAAUCAUCUACCAAAUAAUCAUUUGCCCCAAAACAUAAGAGGCUUCGGACAACGUACCGUCAAGGCAUUCCACAUUCAGAACCAAGCAAGCAACUGAAGAAGCACCUACUUUGCGUUUUUCGGCUUGUAUGAGCUUAUCCGCGACAAACUGAGGACUCCCAAAUUCCCGUAGGCUCGCAAGACGAACUGGACUCACCAGCAGUCCCACAUUGUUGCUCUCCUUGGUUGACUCCUCAAACAGCACCGUCGCCCCUGCUUUGUCCACCUUCAAUUCCCAAAAAAAAAAAAAAAAACCCAAUAGUAUUCAAACAAUACUCGGACCGUCACAGCAUUCUUGCACGUCGGGCAUCCUCAGUACAUAGUACAUUUUUAUAUAAAAAGUGUACCUUCGCCCAAGAAGAGGGUUAGAGGAGGGCGAAGCCGUCCUCGGAAUCUGUGUACCUCUCCAGCUCCACUUCUUGUCGCAACGUCGCCAUUGACGCGCUCGGGCCACACCCAUUUAGCAGGACUGCGAAAAUCGCCUGGCUUGCCUUUCUCUUGCUCGGACGAACUGUUGGCAUCAAGAACCGGUCGCCCUCGUGGGGAAAGGCCGAAACUCCUGCGCGAAGGCCGUGACUCUGAGUCGGAACGCAAGGGGCGGUGAUCGAGAAUGAGGAAUUGGACGUGAGAGGGCGGUGUCCGGAGAGGGCCAACCAAGUUCGGAGAGCCUUGGUCGGCGGAGCGGAGGAGAGAUGGCGCGGACAGUGACAUCAUCGCUGAGUCAGUCGGGGGAUGAUGGAAACAGAAGCACGCAUCCACUCGCGUGCUCUGUAAAGUGGAAAAUCUCUCACCGACCUUUUUUUUUUCCUUUCGCAAGUUUUCUGGCUGGUUUUUUUUUUUUUAAAUUCAUUUGUUUGCUUUCUUGAGACAGAAAUUGUAAUUAAAAGCAUUCUUUUAGAUCGAUCUUAAGAAUUCCAACUCUCCCAUUCUUUAUGAUGGGUUUUGCCUAAAGAUAUCCCCCUUAUAACAGAAUUAUCUUAUCUUCUGUUGAGUAUUACCAAAUGUAAGAUAUGAUAAAUUUUAUUUUCUUUUUAAUUUUGUCUUUACUGUUAAAUGCAGCUUAAAGGUGCAAAUAUUCCCACUAAAAAUAUAAAGUACUCUCUAGAUGAAUAUUAGGACAUAUGUCGUUAGUGAAAGAAAAUUUUACACAAGCUGUUUCAACCACUCUCUAUUCGAGAGAUGGUAGAAAAGCGAAUGGUUAUAAUGUUCAAAUUGAGGGUUAAUAACACCUCUUAUGUAAUUGAUAUUUUAUGCAUUAGGCUAUACUAGAAUUAACUCUUCUCCAAAGCGACUGAGGAAUGAAAAAGAAAAAGUUAUAUGAAAAAAUUAACCCGACAUAUUUAAUUCACACGAAAUCGUUAUUUAUUCAUUAUAGUCUAUACAAACAGCUUAAUGAGCUACUUUAGAACACUCGGGGUUUGUGGGGAGAGAUUCAGUACAUCAUUUUCUUCCCCUCAUCCGAUCGUGGGCACUUCAGCGGUAUUGCCCUUGUCGUCAACCCAAAUGAAUACGCGGUUACAGCAAAUAUCGAGAGUGAGAGGUUCCCUUCGAUAGUACCACGCCAGUCACUUGCUGAUUCUCAUUCUCGAUUAUUUCCUUCGCUUUAGCCCCAUUUAUGCCUGCCAACUCCGGCCAACUGGAUUUAUUUAUCGUCUUUGAAAAUCCCAAAGCACAAUAAUGUCUAUGUACACCAUUGAUGGGAUGCCUCGCCGUCGAUGCUUGAAUCCCAAACCAUUUGAAAUUUGCUCAUAUCAUGAAGAAAGGGAACCGCAAAAUUAAGUUAGGCUCACGGGCAACAUAGCAUCCUGGGUAAGUGCAUCCACCAUCGUUGCAUUGCAGGUAAGGCCCUUUCGGCAUGUUUAAAAAAUAGAUGUAAGAUAUGUAUUACAUGGCGGCCACUCCCUAUAUGUAAUACCCAUUCGGACGAUGGUUAAUAACUAUGUUACCAUCGUUGAGAAGUUUAGAUGAAAUUAUCUCAAUAUCUAAAUGAAGAAGAGAGUUUUAAUUACUCUAUUGGACACAAAUUGCGCAACCUCAAGAUCUCCAUAACUAAAACAAAAACAUGCAUAAUUGAGUAAAAAUAUUAACGCAUCUAUUUUAGGAUCCAUCGUUCUUUAUAGCGGAAGCAGAAAAGAGAUUAUUCACGCAUCAAGUCAUUCUCCUCUAUUACCCUCCAUAUCACUAGCUCAAUGAGGUGGCCCCCUCACGUUUAGCGUUAGGUAACAAUAUUUAUAGAGUUUCUAACUAGGCCCCCUCAUUACGGGCCAGGCUCAAUUUGGCCCACACUAACCAGCCCCAUAUUAGACUAAUUAAGAAACCUUCUAUCUCACUUUAGACCAAUCUUAUUUUACGGUAACCAUAAAAACAGUAAAUUACAAUAUCAAUUAAUGUAAUCCACAUUAGGAAAACUCUUACAUUCUCCCACUUGGACUAUAUUAAUUGAAAUCGUACUGUAUGUGUGCACAUUGGUCCAGAGAUAAUUCUUAAUAGUCAAUAAUAUCUCAUAAAGUUUUAAACAUCGAAUCAUGGCGAUAGCUGCAUGUAUACACAUAGAGCCUUUCAUGGUUAUGAAUGUUCUCAACUUUAUUGAUAUAAAUUCAAUAUGGUAGUGUGGCAAAUGGAUAAAAUCUCUCAUAGAGAGGUCUCAUUUGUCAGUCACCAUCUCUUACCUUAAGCGACAUAAAAACUUGUGCCAUUAGAGAAUGUCUUAUGGUUUCAAUGAACCCACAUAUGUCUUGUCCUUAAGGUUAACAUUUUUUUAUGUAUAAUAAGACAUAUGCACAAGGCUAAUAACCGGAUUCUCCUAGCCUUCACUCAAAGUUUUUACAGUACCUUGAGACUUUAUCAAUAUGUAUUUAACAUAAUAACAACACUUUCAAAAAUAUUUUAUUGAAUGCAAAAAUUGAUACAUAUCAAACCGUUACUAAAUGUAACGAACAUAGAUGUGAACUUUAUUAGAGUAAAGCUAAAAUAGCUCCCACUAAACAACACAAUCUCAUGAUGGUCCUAGGCCCAUGCUAAUGACAUGUCGCUCAAAUACACAUGGGCGUAUGCCUUUAAUUAGUGGAUCUAUAAUCACAUCAUCUGUGGAAAUAUGCUAUAUUAUAAUGUCACAUUUUUUUACCGUUUCUUUAUGGUCAAAAAUUUUGAUCGCCGUAUAUUUAGACCCCUUGAGACAUUUGUUAUUAAAUAAUAUUACAAAUUUAUUGUCUCAAUACAACUGUAUGGGUUUAUUCAUCAAAUUAAAACGAUCAACUCCAUCAUGAGAUUCUGGAGCGUAAUAGCCAAAGUAACAACCUAAAAGAAUGUUAGUAACACUGCUUACAUAGUAGAAGAUAACAUAGAACUUUAUUUAUUGCACUUCCUGCUAAUAUAAAUGUGUAUUCCAUUAUUGAUUUCAUGUCAUCAUAAUAGCUAGCAAAGUUUACAUCUGAAUACCCUACUAGCUGCAAGAAUUGAAUAUAUUUGUAAAUUAACAUAUAAUCUCUUGUCUUAUUUAAGUACCUUAAAACCUUCUUGGCAGUAACCUAGUGAUCGUAUCCUGGAUUUGACUGAUAUCUUCCUAGAAGUCUUGUCAUAAAGACAAUAUUUAAUCUAGUGUAAAUUCAAGCAUAUAUUAUACUUUUAAGUGCACUACAACAAGGUAUACCAUUUAACUAGAUUUUCUCAAUAUCUAAAUAAGGAUAAUGUGAUAGAUUCGGUCUAUCACCUUUAACAACAUGAGCAAUUCUUGGCUUGCAAUGAUAUAUAUUGCAUAUUUUCAAAAUACGAUCAGCAAAUGUCAUUUGAGAAAAUAUAAUAUAAUAUGACGAAAACAAUCCUUAUGGACCUCAAUACAAAAGAUAAAAGAUGUCUCAAGGUCACUACUUGUAAACAAAAUAUCAUGUAUAUAGAGUAUGAGAAAAAUAAAUUUCCUCUCAUUGACCUUACAGUAUAUUGAAUUACUUUGUUCUCAAUUGAACAAAAUAAUAAUACAAUGAAACUUUAUGAAACUUUAAUAAUAUUAUCUAGAAAUUUGCGUAAAAUCAUGAAUAAGACUUUUCAGUCUACACACAAGUUUACUUGAAUCUGCUGCAAAAUCCUCCAGUUGCACUUAUAUAGAUUUUGUAUCUUUUUUACGUAACUCCAUAUAAAAAUAAAAUAAACUAUUAAUACCACGUUCACUUUGAAAGAAUCUUUAAAAAAAAAAUACUAUAAAGAAAUAAUUAUUUAUUCACCAUAAAUUAUAUCAAAUAAUAGUACCUUAAACUUCAACAAGUUUAGUUUAUGGUAUAGGAGAUUCCAUACUUGUCUAUACCACAUAUCUGUAUAGACAAAGACAAAGACACAUUGAUUUUCCAUCAUACUAUUAUCUUUAAUAGUCUGAGAGCAGUUAUCCUCUACAAUUAUGUCAAACUGUAGAAACUUUACAAUAUGUGAUUUUCAUAAUAUUUGUACAUUCUUUAGGGUCAUAAAAUUGAUAUCUCUUUUAACAAUUUGGUUAAGAUAAAAAAUAAUUUCGAGUGGAUCUAAAUUCCAAUGCACUUAAUAUUGGAUUAGAUCACUUCACUUUUGCAUAACACCUCUAAAUUUCAUAUGAUUCAAAUAGUUUAUGUCCAGUCUAUAACUCAAAAGAAGUUUAUGAAAUAGUUUUUAUAUAUGAAAAUAUUGUUUUCAAAAUAUCAGCCUAGAGAAGACUGGAUAAAUUAGUCUUACUAAUUAUACUCAUCACCAUGUUCAAUAUGAUGCAUUUAUACUUUUCAGCCAAAUCUUUUUAUUAUGAUUUUCAGGUAUAGUAAUUAAGUUACCACCCAGAAUUUAUCAAGUAUUUGACAAAUGACCCUUUAAGCUAUUUCGCAUUGUCAUACUUGCCAAAAUACUCACGGCCAAUAUUAAACCUGGCAACCUUUUAAGACUAAUUGUAAUUGUUUUAUUGUUUUAUCUCGGGCAUUUUCCUUAAAUAAAAAACUUUCGGAAACAAUAUUUUAACCAUAUGCGAGAUGUAUAUGUCAUUAGGACUUAAACACAAUCUUUGCAGAUGUGUCCUAAUUUCUGUAUUAUACAAGACAUAAUUACAAGCCACCAAGGCUUCCAUCAUUUUAUAGCAGUACAAUUCACAAGCAAAGCACUUUUCAAGUGUUCCAACACUUCAUGGACAGUAAGCAAAUUAUAUUGUUCUUUUCUCAAGCAACAAAUCAUAUGUCAACAACUUCAAAUUUGAAGCAGUAAAAACUUCAAUAAUAGUUGAGUUAUUAAUUAUAGAAAAUGUGACUAAAAAACAAGUAAUGUAUAUAAUUAGUAUUAUGUGAGCACUGUGUAACUUAACGUACAAGUACAUAUCUAGAGAGUUACACACAAAAUUAUAUAAUCACAUUUGAGUAGAAUACAUGACAUGCAGUUGUACACUCCUCAUAUGAUAGCAGUUAUGAGAAUAUAUUUUAAUAUUUGACCUUUGGGCAUAUGAACCACUAGGAUCAGUGACUCCUCCACCACACCAUCAUGCAUCCCUCCAUGAACUAAUACACAAUCACCUCCUUUGGGAGUAUGACUAUGCAUUACACCAAGAGACAUUCCAAUCAAUAUACAAUAUUGAAAAUUUUCAAACCCAAUCAAGUGUGCUACUUUGGCAGUCACAAUUAAAUUGAAUCCUUGAAACUCUCUCAUACUAGGGAUAUAAUCUUUACAUCUCACAUACACCAUAUACAUAUGGUUUUAACUUUAGUGAUAGGGGCAGCAUAUCACUGAAAUCACAUAUCAUGCUAAUUACAUUGUCUUAUUCAUUAAUAAAAAUUAAUCAUAUAUAUAUAAUCUGAAAUAUAGAUUGCUGAUUUAGAGGAUCUAUCAAAAGUUAACAUUAAUAGCAAUACAUGGUACACGAGAUCAAAAAACGUGACAGCUAAUCCACUAUUGCUCAUGAAUUUCAUAAGGCAAAUAUGACUUCAAGGCCAAUAACUGAUUUAUUACCCAUUUUUUUUAAGUAACAAAAUUAUCAUUGUAAUUAACCAGUGGCCUAUUAAUUGAGUCAAACCAGAGAACCAAAUAUCUAAACUUUAACAGUAGAUACUGUUGCUUUGCAUAAAUAUUGAGUCAAACUUCUUAACCAUAAAAAAUAUUCAACUUAAUGGAUAUUAACCAAUGAUCAAAUGAGUUUAGGUACAAUAUGUAAUAACUUAACUGACAUGUAUUAUCUACAUUCAGCGGAUGUGUUAAUUAGUACAAUCAGUUUGGUCACAGGUUCUUAAGAUGUACAUCAUUGAAAGGUUACUAGCAUGUAAAGGAGUAUGCAUGAGCAACAAAAGUUUCAUAACAUUUUACUAUUUCUCAUCACUUCAAUACAUAGUUCAAUUACUAUCCCAUAAUGGUAGUAUUUCAUUAAGUUAGCUUCAGUUCUCAAUAAAUUUUAAUUUUUAUUAAUGAAUCACACCAUUAUAAUAUUUAUAUGAUAACAUAUCUAUAACCCAACACUUGUAUUUUCAAAAUCACAAAAAAUACAAGAAAAAUACGCAAAAAUACACAAAACAUUACACAUAUUUAGGGUUUUGUAUCUAUUUUCACAUCCACAAAAUCAUCAAACAUAUAAAAUAAAUAUACCACAAGAUAGAGCAUGGAAAUACGAGUCUAAUGCCACCAACCAUGAGCCGAUCGAAGGCUCCACGUUCCCGCACAUGCCGCUUGAGUGCCCGGCGUGUGGAGCCCAUGUGCGUAUGUCAUUGACCAGUUUCCAACCAGCAGCGGUCCGAUCGGCCUCAGCUCCAUCGCCUAGUCCAACUGGAUCGGUCCAUCGUUGACCGGGUCGGGUCGGGUCAAUGGGUCGGGUCAAGGUCAACGGUCGUCGGGUUGGAUCGGGUCAACGUGUCGGUCGAUCCGGUUGGUCGCUGACAUCACGAUGACGUCAGCCUCUGCGCGUUUGACGCAUGCGCGAGCCAUGCCCCACGUGUGGGGGCACGUGAGCGUGUGUGGGGCGCGUGCUCGACGCCCUGGCGGCGCGUUGCCGCGCGUGGGGGCGCGUGCAGCCCCCUUUGACGACACGCCGCCCACAGAUUUGCUCAUCUUGACGAGUUCAUUCCAAAUUUGUGAUUUAAUUUUAUUUUUAUUGAACAAAAAAUCUUGAAAAUCACAAAUUAGGACAAAAAUCAUAUGCGUUUGAGUUCUAGGGUUAUGGUUGCUCUGAUAUCACAUGUUGGACGCAAAUUGCACAAUCCCAAGAUCUCCAUAACUAGAACAAGAACAUGUAUAAUUGAGUAGAAAGAUUAACGCAACUAUUUUAGGAUCCAUCAUUCUUUAUAACGGAAGCAGAAAAAAUGGAUUAUCUACACAUCAAGGGGAUUACCCACGCAUCAAGUCAUUUUCCUCUAUUAUCCUCUAUAUCACUAGCUCAAUGAGGCAGCCCUCUCACGUUUAUCGUUAGGUAAACGCUCCUUAGGUGAUGAUAUAUAUGAGAAAUUAGGGUUAGAUAAGAGAUUUGAGCACUAUUUAUAGAGUUUCCAACCAGGUUCCUUCGUUACGGGUCAGGCUCAACUCGACCCACAUUAGCCAGCCCUAUAUUAGACUAAUUAAAAAACAUUCCAUCUCACCUUAGACCAUUCAUGUUUUACAGUAACCGUAAAAACAAUAAAUUGCAAUAUCAAUUAAUGUAGUCUACAUUAGAAAAACUCUUACAGACUCUCCUUAUUCUUGUCGAACUAUUGUGAUUCUAUUCUCAAAAAGAAAAACAAAGAAUAGAUAGAUUAGGGAAGAGAUACUUCUAUCUCAUAGAUGACUAAAUCCACUCAUUACGUCAAUGGUUUCCAUAGUAGCACAGCUCCCUUUGACUUGGUUAUUUUCCUUUUUAUGGUUUCUAAUGAAAAUAUACUUAUUUUUUUAGAAAAUAAACACUAGUAUCUUCUUUAUCAUUGCUUUUAUAGCAACUUAUAUAUCUUUCGUCCCCCCUAUUUUGAAGCUCACUUUCUCGGUAUUUGUCUCAUUUUUUUUUUUUUUUACUUUAUUGGUCUGAAAAGAAAUACCCAAUCUCUUUAUCUAUUAUAUCAAAGAACUUCUGUUGUUUUCUUUAGAAUUGGAGAAACACUUUUUAUGCGGAACACAUGGACACGGCUCCUUGGAAUGAAGGAGAGGAGAUGGAAGCACGAGGAAGAGGCCAAUUCUACUGGCUAGCCAGCAACAGCAUGAGCUCACUGGGCUUGGCAUUACGCAUGCAUAAGCAGAGAUGGAUUCAAGACUAGGCCAAUCCUACUCUACAGUAGAUUCCCAGCCACAAAUACGAAUUCGAAUACGGGGCCACAUUUGCUGUAAAGCCGUGAUUUCCUCAGAGUUCUACAAAUGUUUCUUCCUUGCAAUAAAGUUACCCAUCUGCAGAUAUUUUGAUAGUUCCUUUAGGGCAUAAAAAGAGUUUGAUAACUCUUUAUCAAAAAGUAAGUUUCUCCCAUCUUAAGUUGGUAACUUUGCCAUAUCCUUAGUAACUUUUUGACGUCAAUGUAAUUUGAAACUAUUAGAAGUCAGUAAUAUUAGUUGUGGUUUAAUUUUCAUUUUAAAGAGAAACUUUCAAUAUAUUGUAGGGAUGUAACUUUUUAUUUAUUUAUUUGUGAGGCUUUUAAAAAAAAUUAAAAAUAUGUUAUCUCCAUCAGUGACUACUAAUUUUAUCAGGGAUAAUUGUUUAAAAAGUCUCAAGUCAUCAUAGAACAAAAAAUUUAGUUGUAAACCUUUCAAACUGACCAAAGAAAUCUUGAAAUGGGGCACCCUUGAAAUGCACAGAAAUGCCCAAAGAUAGAACUAGACCAAUGAAGCCACAAAAGGAAAGAGACCUGGGAGGACCUAUAAAAACUUACUGAACACUCUCAAACCAUAAUGCCCCACAUCAUGCAAAAAAACCGAUUAAAUAACCGGCUUCUAGCUAGUUAGUCACAACAAUCAAGUGCAGUGGAGGUAAGUACACUAUCAGUGCCAAAAAUGGUAUACGGCGCUCACUUUGGUGCCAAAAGUUUAUUUUGGAUCACUUAAGUGCCAACAAAAUUGAAAAAUGAUCAUUUCAGUGCCAACGCAGAUUAAAUUGGCCUGAAAGCCGACGUUGCACUGUUUUGUUAAUUUUUGAAGUUGAUAAGGCUCGUUGGAGAGUAUAGUUAGCAUCCAAAUGAACAAAACGACGCCGUUUGGCCUCUUUCCCCCAACUUGAAACCCUAAUCUCCAAAUUGAGAGAGAGAGAGAGAGAGAGAGAGAGAGAGAGAGAGAGAGAGAGAGAGAGAGAGAGAGAGAGAGAAUGUUGUCUUCUUCUUCCCCGAAGAACAACACCAGCAGCGGCAUUAGCAAUGGCACCAGCAGUAGCACCAGCGGUGCACCAGUAGUGGCACUAGCAACGGCACUAGAAACAGUGGUGGCGGUGGUGCACCAAUAGUGGCACCUUUGACCCCUCUUAUUCCUCCUCCUCCUCAUUCGCCCUUGCCUCCUAUUCUUCCUACCACUUCUUUCUUGAGCAACAAUUUCAGUCUCUCCUCACUCACCUGGUCGAGCAACUACAAUGUUGGCCGAGUGAUGGCCAGCGAACAACGGUGGCCGAGCGGCGAAUGAUAAAGAAACCCUAAUUUUGAUCCCCAUAUGAGUUAUAUAGCGCCGUUUCUGUGAGAAUGUCCAUGUAUGAUAGUAAAACGGCGUCGUUUCUUGAGGAGGAUAAAAGACGAUGUUGUUUUAAAGCCACUAAUAUUUUUUUUUUUAUAAAUAUAAAAGCCAUGUAAUUAAUUUGGCUAGAAUCUCUCGCCGGUGACACCAAAGUAAUUGUUUUUUCUCCGAUUUGGCACUUAAGUGAUUCGACGGAAACUUUUAGCACUAAAUGAGCACCAUACACAACUUUUGGCACUGAUAGUGUACUUAUCCCAGCGUAGUGUUAGCAAGCAAUGUGGCGUGGCUCACAGCAAAUUUGCUCAAUUGCACAUCCAACAAGCCAAUGACUCUAAAAUGAUCAAAGAUCUACAAUAUGAAUCGCAAGCCACAAUACCGCACAUUUCGUCAUGUUGCAAACAUAAACUGCAACAGAACCAUAGCAAAAUACGAAGUAGAGUUUGCGAAGCUUACAAAGAAGCGCAACGGACCGACCAGCCACCAGCGGAGAUGAAACAUGGGUGUAGUGACACAUAAACACUAGCGGAGAUAUGUAUCAUUUUUUUACAUAUCAACUUAGUUGGCAUCUCUUUGUUCCUUCUUCUUCCUUUUACCGUUGCCAUUGACAGUCGGAGUAAGCGACACUGUUCAUCAUCUUCUUUGCACAUGACUUGCUGGGCCACGGUUCACCGGUGCUCACCCACCUCCACCUAGACCUCCGACGCCGCACCACGACCUCCAACAACCCCUUCGCGACUGUGGGCAGUCGUCGGAAUCAUCUCUAGCAGUCUCAAUCGAGACCCCUAUUUCCGAUUCCAAUUUUUCAAGCUUCAAGAAGGCAUCUUCAUCAACCAUUACCUUCACUCCGUCAUCCCUGAAGCUUUGUAGAUCCAUUUCGUGCCCGGGCGACAACAAAACGAGCCCAAGCUCUUCUCUCUCUCUCUCUCUCUCUCUCUCUCUCUCUCUCUCUCUCUCUCUCUCUCUCUCCUAUGGUCAACCUCCAUUAAUGGAGGUUGCCGCCUGCGAUUGAGGUGUGCGAUCUCAUGUUUGAGGUAAUCUCUCUUCAUACGCUGAACCAAACAAAACCAAGAUUCAGUUUCGCACAUGCCCUUUGGGCUCUAAGGCCCUGUUUGUUUGUAUUCUUUUUUUUUUUUUUUUUUGGUUCAUGAACACAAUUUUUGUUUUUUUGUUCCGAGGAACAAAAAAAGAACAGAAACGUGUUUAUUUAUGUUUUUGUUCCAAAUUUAUUUUUUUGUUCUCGAGAAUAAAUUUGGAACAGAAACAAGAAAUAAGAAAAAUUUGUUUCUUGUUUUUGGAAUACUUUUGAAAAACAAUUUUUCUCUCUCCUAUUUUUUCCUUCUCUUUAUUUUCUUCUUCUUUUUUCUUUGGCCGAUCACCGGCUUCGACCAUAGCCAGUGAUCGGCGGCGACUGGCCAUUGAGGGCUUACGGCUUCAUCGGAGCGUCACCGGCCCUCAUUGGCUGGUCGCCAGCCAUGACCAAGGCUGGCGAUCGGCCAAAAUGAAGAAAAAAGAAAAAAAGAAAAAAGAAAAAAGGAAAAAUAAAUAAAAAUAUUAAAAAAUUAAAAGAAACAAAAGAAAUUAUACAAGUUUACCAAACGUGUUUCUGUUUUUUUUUUUCUAUUCCAGGAAUAGAAAUUUUGUACAGUUACCAAACACCUUCUUCUGUUUAAAAAUUGUUCUCCAAAACAGAAAUAGUUUUUUCUAUUUCUGUUCUGGGGAAUAAUUUUUGAACAAAAACGUUACCAAACGUGUCCUAACUCAUAGAUCCACUGUCAAAAUCGAAUAACUUUGGCCUCAAAACUCUGAUUCCAACCAUUUUCAGUCCCUAAAACUCUCAGAACUUGAACUUUGGUAAAGAGUACCUUCGGUAAGACUCGCUAAAAAAAGGCAGGCGAGGAAAUGCACCAAGACCCAUCAUCACUGUUUCAACCCACAAAAGGUCAUUACUUGGCAAUCAUCCCAUUUGCUUCCAAGUUAUCCGUUGACUGACCCCAUGGCAGGCCACGGUCAUGAACCCAGGUCCAUGAUGGACAAGGGGAAAUUUAUUUUUCUCAAAAGACCGGGGGUGGGUUAGGUCGUAAAAAUUUUGUGGAAUUUCCAUGUGAUGAUUAAAUACUGUAAUUAAUGGGCCCAUGUGGGCUAAUAAGAAUGCGUUUAGUAAUUAUUUAUAUCUAGGAAUAAUUUUUAAUCAAAAAUGAUUUUUUCUGAUUUUGUUCUCCAUACAAGUUUUUGAGCAUUUGGAAGAAUUUGAUAAUUGUCUAAAAUUUAUAUUGUAUGAUAGAAGUAUGUUUGGUAAAAUGUCAAAUUCUUUUAUAAAUUAAAAAUUAUUUUAAUUUUUAAUAAAUUUAUUAUAGCUUUCUCUUUUUUCUUUUCUUUUUUCUUGUUCUUUUUUCAUUCCUCUUCUUUUUCCUCAACGCCGAUCACCUGCUAGCCACCACGUCAAUGCUCGGCGAACAACUAGUUGAGGUUCAACGAGCUCGUUGGAGCCUCCCCAGGGCAAGUCGAGACUUGGUGAGCUCGUCGGAGCCUCUAAGUCUUGCAAUGACGCUUGUCAAGGCUCAACCUCGCCUUGGCCUAGUGAGGCUUGCUAAGGCUUGGCCUUGCCAAAUUUGGGUGAGGUUUGGCCUCGCCUAGCUAGUGUGAGGCCAGCCUCACCAGAUCUAGGCGAGGUCAAGCCUCACUGGUGGCUAGGCGAGCUCACUUGGCCACCAGCGAGACUCAACCUCGCCCUAUUGCCAACCAACAAUGAGGAAGAACAAGAAGAGUGAAGGAAAGAAAAGGAAAAGAAGAAAAUUUGGUUUGAUUAUGAAAUUUGUUCUCAAGAGCAAAAAAAUAACUUUUUUUUUCUUUUACUUCUUGAUUUAUUUUAAAUUUAUUUUUAAAAACAAAAAAAAUUAUUUUUGGAAACAAGAAAUUUGUUAAAUGGAUUUUUUUUUUGUUCCCAGAAAUAAAAUAAUAGAAUCAAUUGCUUCCGAAAAUGUUACCAAAUAUGACCUAAGACUCUCCCAUAUCUGACAAUUUAACUGAGAUGAGACUUUUAGGGAUUCCAAAAAUGCAACAUUCCUAUAUCAUGUCAUUGGAGCAAAGUGGUGCCAAGUUUUCGCCUUAAACCUUGGGCAUCAUCUGGAAGUGACAAGCCGGGUGGCCUAAGCACGGCAAGAAAUGAACAAUGUAGCAAGGCGCGAGUUGACAUUUAAAUAAACAAAUCAGUUUAACACAUCGGUCAAUAUGCUAACUUUGUAAAAUUAAUUUCGCUAUGACUAGCAUUUCUCGUUACAAAACUUAUUUUCUACGAUCCACGUAUAAAAAAGAGACGGAGAGACGCGCUUAGAUAGGGUUAAGGUAACAAGCAAAAGCAACUUUAGGGCUUCAAAAGAAAAGGACUCAAAAUUGUCAGCCAUUCCGGCUCCUCUUCCGUCGGGAAAACGUCCCUCAAGUGAAAAUCAAAUAUAUUGCAACUUUUUUUAUCAUAUAAAUUAUUGCGGUUUUAAUCAUGAAAAAAGAAGAAGAAGGAAAAAGACACAGCACGGCAGAUUACAUCGAUCCACACGAAGGGAGCCACCACGCUAACCCGCGCUAACCCACCCACACGGCUCACUGACAAAGUUUAACUUACUAAUCAUGACUUAGUAAGUUAAUGAUGCUCAAGGGUUGAUUAGAUUUAAUUAACUGUGUUUAGAUGGAUAGCACAGAUUAGAUUAUAUAGUUUAAUGAUUUGCCCAUUACGUAGGGUGGGACCAUAUUGCGAAUAGGACGUCAAUACAUGCUGGUAACUAGUUAAUAAGUCUCGCGACAUGUUUAGAGCUCAUAUUGGAUUCCAUGAGGCUAUANNNNNNNNNNNNNNNNNNNNNNNNNNNNNNNNNNNNNNNNNNNNNNNNNNNNNNNNNNNNNNNNNNNNNNNNNNNNNNNNNNNNNNNNNNNNNNNNNNNNNNNNNNNNNNNNNNNNNNNNNNNNNNNNNNNNNNNNNNNNNNNGUGCAUUGACCAAAUUCACCUCCUUUUCAAGAAUCUCUCGUCUCUCUGUGCUGUCGUUUGUUUGCGAGUCCUCGUCCCAUGUAAAGAAAAUCCCAGUCUUGGCGGGCCCCCGAAUCGGCACCCCACUCACGCGACUUGAUAUUCAUUUCGCUUCCCAUUGACGGGCAAAAUUGGAAAUCACGGACGCCGAGCUUCGUCGUAUCAACCUGCUCUCUUCUCCUGCUCACCUCUGGAAAUCUCCGACAUUCGCAUGUUUCAAACUAUGUUUUCAUCGGAUCAGCGCAGCCUCACGUCUUAUUCCAAUGGCUAUUUACAAUGAUUUUGCUUAUUGAAAUGGUAUUCGCAUGUCAAACCACCUAGACCAUUGAUCAUGUCAACAUGCAUAAAGAACGGCUUGAAUAUUAGCAAUUCACGUGUCUAUAGAGCAUGCUAUAGAACUCGAAUUAAUCAUCCAACUUGUGUUAAGCAAAUGAAUUUCUUCCCAAAUCAUCUGAAGUCAUAACUCUUCCAGACAACAAUGGUAUGGAAUGAGUGGGACAUCGCAGUUAUUGAUAUAUAGUUGAUAAGCAAUAAUUGCGCAUCAUAUUUGCUUUAUGGGUUUGGUACUAAAGAGUGCUCUACUUUUUUUUUUUUAUUGGAUGUGUAAUAACUAAUUUGCUUUUGACUCAUAUAAUUUUGAAUUAUUACAUAAUGAAGUGAAAUUAUCAAUUUGAAUACAUAAUGCAAAGAAACUGUGUAACUAUUUAUGGAAAGAGAAAAUGAUUUUCACACGUAAAUGUAACGUGUGUUAUUAAAAGGGAGAUCCAAAUAUUCGCAACAUUUUACGUAGUUGUGGAAAAUAAAGGGCGGAAUUGUACGGGACUACCAUAGAAUUUUCUCUAAUUGCUUGGGCAUACUUGUCUAGGCAUUUCUUGUUAUUGACAACUAAACCAAUAUUAGGUGAAUUUUAGAGUCUAUAAAAUGUCCUAGUAACUUUCUUGAUUAGUUAAGAAAGGAAUCAUGAGAUUAAGCCAAAAAAAAAAAAAUCGUUAAUUAAUCAACUUCACCUAAAAUAAAAAAUACUCUUAGUUUUAGGAGGUUGAAAUAGUUUCACAAGAUUCUAUGGACACACAUAAUAACCAUUCCAUUUUUUUUUGUUUUUCUAUUUUUCUGCUCGUGCAAAUAGGUUUCAAACAGAAAUUCAUUUGAUAAUGCAAAAAAAAUUUACUCUAAAAAUAGAUUUAGAGAUGACAGGGGCACGGAGGUCGCUGGGUCACGGUUGUAGAGGCGCGAUGUCAAGUCGUUGUGGGCGAAGGUCACCGCCGUGGGGUUUCGACAGCUGUUGCGAGCGAGCGACGGCAGGAGGGAAGCAGCAACAGCAACGUCAGGCUCUGGUGGUGCUACUGUGGGACGAUGGCAGACUAAGGUGCAGACAUUGGCUAGGCCGCGCUCAGCGUUAGGCAGGGUAGUAGCAACGUCGGGUGAGCAGAAGCGGCACGACAAGCGUUGUGGGUGAGACCAGCGAAGUGACAGUGGUGAAAACGUGGUGGCGAAGGUGCGGUGGCGGCUGGUGGAGGCAGUGGUGGCGCGGUGAUCGAUGCCGACACAGUUGGUGUGGGUAGGGGCUGCCUCGUGAUGAAUAGUGCCGCUUUUUUUUCCUUUUUUUUUUCUCUCUCCUCACCUAUCCACUCGCACCUCUCCCUCUCUCUGCCCUUUUCACAGUGCUGCUAUACCUUUCUGCCUCCUUUCCUUCUCUCUUUCACUCUUUCUUCUUUCUUCUUUUUUUACUUUUCACCCCUGCUACCUUUUUCUCUCAUGCUUGCUUUUUUUUUUUCUUUUUGCGUGAAUUUUUCUCUCGAUUUUUUUGAAUUCCUCGCUCCCAUUUCACAAAAACUGUGACUCUUUUAUAAUGAUUUCAGACAGCCGCUUUCCAUGGUAAUUUUCGAGUGUCCGUCUUUUGUUGCAUUAAUUCAUGGCUGCAAUGGGAGCGUGAUUUCGCGAUCAGCUCAAUUUUGCUUUGAAUCCUUUCAUUUUAUCAAAAUUCUUGCUCUUUAUUUACCUAGAUCCCUAAAUAUUAAUCUUCUACCGGGAACAACAUUCGCAUUUACCGAGAUUUGAAAUUUCUAACUUCCAUGUAUAAUCAAUCAGAUUGAUUCCCCCCCCCUUUUUUUUCCUUUUAUUUGUUCUGAUGCGAUUUUUAUUUUUUUAUUUCCUUAAGGUUGCCAAAAUUAGGUAUUAAUAGCUGCCACUUUUUGAAUGUGAGCUCGUAGAAGUUACCUUCAAAGAUAAGUUGAGACAUAAAUUUUGAUCACGCAUAUGCAUUGAAUGACCUUUUUUUUUAAAAUAGGGAAAAUGAAUCCUAUUGAUGCAUGGAAAUGCUAAUGUAAAUGAUAAAAGAACCUAUUUGGAAUAACUUAGGAGCGUAGAGUAAUUCAAGAUAGUUGGUAUUAUAUGUAUAGGACUCGUAUCUUUCUAUGGUCGCCCAGAAUAGUAACAGACUUAAGAGAAGGCCGCCUUUCCUCGGACUUGUACAUUUCUAUAGUCACCCAAUAUGGUAGUAUUUGGUUGUCUAGGACCCGAACAUUUCUUCGGUCGCAUUGACAAAAAAAUUGCUUCUUUUAGGAUCCGUACCUUUCUACGGUUGCCUGCUAGAGAAACAAACAUUAUCUAGGACCCGUACCAUCCUACGAUUGCUUGAAUGGGAGAUCACUUUUUCAAGACCCGUACAUUUUUACGAUUGCUUGAAUGGAAAAUAGCUUUUCCAAGACCCAUACCUUUCUAUGGUCGCCUAAACAGGAAAACACUUUCUAGGACCCCUACCUUUCUACAGUCACCCGAAUGUGAAACAACUUUUCAGGACCUAUACCUUUCUACGGUCGCUUGAAUGAGAAACAUAAAUUGUCUAGGACUUAUACCAUUCUACGGUCGCCUAAACAAGAAAUCACUUUCCAAGACCCGUACCUUUCUACGGUCACCCGAAUGGGGAAUAGAUAUUGUCUAGAACCUGUACCAUUUUACGGUCGCUUAAACGGGAAACCGUUUUCUAGGACUUGUACUAUUCUAUGGUUGCCUCAACGGGAAACAACUUUUUAGAACUUGUACCUUUCUACAGUUGCCUGAAUGAGAAACAUAUACUAUCUAGGACUCGUACCAUUCUUCGGUUGCCUAAACAGGAAACAACUUUCUAGGACCCGUACCUUUUUACAAUCGCCUGAAUGAGAAAUAGAUUUUCCACAACCUGUACCUUUCUACGGUCGCCUUAAUCAGAUUGAAUCUGGAGAAAAAAAAUUAGGGGAUAGCUCGACUAAGUCGAGUGUCGGUGCACUUGAGAGAGAAUACCUGCAUAAUGACAAAUAUUUAGAGUAUGGGUAGAGAUAUACUUACCUGGUAAUAUCUCUGAUUAUCGGGGAUAUGUCUCCUUUAAAGCCUAAUCACAAGAGAGGUAACAUGCAUUUGUGGUUACAAAUAACAAAUGCAUUAAUUCAAGUGAGGUUCAUGCAUUAUAAUUUCUAUUAAUCUUGCAUUACCCAAUUUUCAUUUCAAAAUAAUACUAUAAACUAAACACAUAAGUGUCAUGGAUGUGUCAAAUGAGGGAUCUUUCGGUUUGAAAGGACCUUUCACUCAUGCUCAUUAAAAGGCUAUUUCAACCUGAUAUUUGAUGCAAGAAUUUGACAAUCACUUUGUCUUGCUAUUAUCAUGCCAAACAAGAGUUCGAAUAGUCUCGCAAGUGGUAUGACCUUACAAAUCUAAGAGGUCUUUAACAAGACCGUGAUGUGGGCUUGGUCGACGGCUUAACGAAGGGGACUCUUUGAGUUGAGACUUAUUGAAGAAUGAUAUUCCGCAACCAUCUCUAGGUUUAUAAGUCAAAAAGCAUAUGAAAUGAGGUAGAAAUUGUUUUACUCACACCUCUCCGAGCGAUGCUUUUGAACAUAUGAACUUUUACAUUAAUUCAAGUGCCAUAAUCUAAAGAGAUUUUGCAAGGGAUGUAACGUAGGUUUGGUUCAUGAAAGGAUUAUCAGGCUAAAAAAGUGAUUAGGGGGGACUAGAGUUGAUGAUCAUCUUGAUAUUUCUACCAAUUUUCUUUUUCACUAUCAAGGAUUUUCUUCAUAUCAAAACUCCAUUGAGUUCUGCAAGUAUCGCUUCACUGGGGAUACGACUUGCUACAAUCAAUUUUUGAUUUUUUUUCUAUGGACAUUGGCAUUGCUUUUAUUAAACACACUGCUUUUUCAUGCCCCAUUACUUUUUGCACUUAUUUUCUUUGGACUUACACAACCUCCAUCUUUUAUCAACAUUCUAGACCAUGCUACUUGAAUGAUUGUCUUUCGCCUUGCCCCGGUGUGGGGUAUAAUCACCAACUGGGUUUAGUAGGAAAUGAAUUCGAAGGCUCAAGUGGGCUAUGCAAUGGACAAAAGUGUGUAGGGUAAAGAAAGAACUGCUCUUCGUCAUCCUAAAGCACUUAAAUUACCGCAUAAGUUGCAUUGCAAAAGCAAUACUCGAAGAUUGAUGCAAGUGUGAGCAACAAAAUUCCUACCAUUCAUUUCAAAUUUGUCCCAAUAUGGGGUGAUCCUUGAUAGAGAUAAUUUAAAAAAAAAAAAAUCUCCAUAAAUGUGUGGGGCUCAAAGGGGGUUAAGUAAUGGAUCACUUGUAGUGUUUGUGAUAGAGAAAAGAAUGCCUCCCAUCACCUCGAUUGACGUGCCCUUUGCCAGAUAACCAUUUUCCUUGUGGGCAUGUAAUUUUUCCAUUCAACUCACUGGAGAUUAGUGUAUGAAACAAUGUAUAAAAUAAGGCUUGCCUUUCAUCAUUUCAAAGUAUCCCAUUUGACACAUCCAAUUUGUCUCACAAAAUUCAUCAGUGAAAACAUGCAAGAUUUGAACAAUUUAAUUUGCAACUCAUUGAGGCAAUUCAUUCAUCAUAAAAAAUGUUUGCAAACACAGCAAAUUCUAUCAUGGGUAAUACUUCUUGACAUCAUCAGAGUUAACAGGAUUGGAAAACUCACAACCAUCCAUCUUUGCCAUGAUCAAGGCACCUUUAAGGAGUACCUUUCACCACAUAUGGGCCGCUAUAAUUUGGAGCAAAUUUGCCUCCAGGAUUCGGAAAAAUCGGCAACAUCUUCCUUAAGAUCAUUUACCUCAAAAUGUAUUGGUCGUACCUUUCGAUUGAAGGACCUGGCCACUCUCUGUUGAUAAAUUUGGCCAUAACAAAGAGCCUUUGGUCUUUUCUCAUCAAUUAGGUUCAGCUGUUCAAAUCUUUGUUGCGAACAUUCCACCUUAGACAACUCCAUUUGGGAUAAAACUUUCAGGGAAGGAAUUUCCACUUCCAUGGGCAGAAUUGCUUCCAUGCCGUACACCAAAGUGAAAGGGGUUGCCCCCAUAGAAGUGCGGAUCUAUCAUGCCAAUAAUUCUGAGUAGUCUUAGCCAAGAUCUUCUUAAUGUUCUUAUUGGCCGCUUCAAUAACCUAGUUCACUUGAGGGUGGUAAGGGGACGAAUUUAGAUGCUUGAUCUUGAAUUUGCUAAACAACUCAUCAACAAGCUUGUUGUUCAAAUUUGUUUUGUUAUUAGUGAUGAAUGCUUUAGGGACACCAUAGCGAGUAAUUAUGUCACGCCAAGUAUGAUUUUCAUGAAGAGCCUUAAAUUCUAGCUUUGGUCACAGCAGCGAAUGAGUUUAUAAAAUUAAGUUCAAGGCAGAUGGCUCCAUUGAAUGAUACAAGGCUCAUUUAGUAGCGAAGGGGUUCAUGCAACGGGAAUGUUUUGAUUAUCAUGAAACAUUCUCUCCCGUAGCUAAAGAAGUCACUGUUCACUCUUUGUUGUCUAUUGCUGCCUUUUGCAAUUGGCCGCUCCAUCAAAUGGAUGUACAUAAUGUUUUUUUACAUGGAGAUUUGGAUGAAGAAAUCUAUAUGUAGUUUCCAUAGGGAUUACGCAGCUAGGGGGAGUCUCGUGUAAGUCAUCUCUGUAAAUCCCUGUAUGGACUUAAACAUACUUCUAAGCAAUGGUAUGCCAAGUUCAUAGCUGCACUAACCGACGCAGGAUUUCAGCAUUUUAGACAUGAUUAUGCCUUGUUCACAUGUACUUUGUCCAUUUUUCUCUUAAUACAUGUUGAUGACAUUCUUAUCAUGGGAAAUAAUGAGCUCGCUAUUGCAAAAUUCAAAAACUACUUGAAUGCCACUUUUCGCAUAAAAGACUUGGGGCCUCCUAAGUAUUUCCUUGGCAUUGAAAUAGCUCGAUCUAAUAAGAGACUAUGUCUCAGCCAAUGAAAGUUCAUUCUAUAAAUAGUCUCCAAAGCAGGAUUGUUGGGAUGUAAACUAGCUGUUAUAUUGAUUGAGCAGAAUGCGAAGUUGACGACACAUGAGUAUGAUGCGAGCUCGUCUUCACCUAUGGAGGAUCCAUUACUCAAAGAUCCAUUAGGAUAUCAACAGCUUAUUGAGAAAUUGAUUUAUCUCACAAUGACAAGACCAGAUAUAUGUUAUGCAGUGCAAAUACUCAGUCAAUUCAUGCACAAGCCAAAGCAGUCUCAUAUGGAUGCAGCGUUGAAUGUCGUGAAAUACUUGAAGGGAUGCCCAACAUUUGGCAUUUUUCUAUCUCGAGAUUGUGACAUGAGAAUGAUAGCAUAUUGUGACAUGGACUAUGCUACUUGUCCGAUGACAAGAAUGACUAUUACUGGUUUUUGUAUCAAAUUGGGAAAAUCACUCAUCUCAUUGAAAACAAAGAAGCAGUCAACUGUAUCAUUGUCGUCAACAAAAUCAGAGUAUCGAGCUAUGGCAAAAAAUGUUUGCGAAAUAAUCUGGAUAUGAGGACUACUUUUAGAUUUUGGAGUACAAGUCAAUGGAUCCAGCGAAUUAUUAUGUGAUAAUGAUGCCGCACUCAAGUUAGCAACUAAUCCUGCUUUUCAUGAGAGAACUAAGCAUAUAGAGUUCAAUUGUCACUUCACUUGGGACAAGAUUCGGGAAGAAAUCAUAACAACGAGAGGAAUUGGAACUAUUGAGCAACCUGCAAACAUCUUUACCAAGCCACUGUGUCAAAGACAACAUGCAUACCUAUUGAGCAAGCUAGGUGUUCUUGACAUAUACAUGCCACCAGCUUAAGGGGGAGUGUUGGAAAUAUGGAAAUACUAAUUUUGAAUAUCAAUAAUUGAUUCAGUUAAUCGGUAAUUAGCUUGGUAAAAUAGGACAUAGAAUCAUGAUGUAAAUCAGUGUAUUUUUCCUUAUUUUUUUUUCCUAGCUUAUUUCCUCCCUCUAGUAUUAUAAGUGGAGGAUUAUACAUGUACAAGAGAUAGGCAGAAACACGUAAUUACACUUUUCCUCUCUAUUCUACUUUACUUUCCGUCACUCUCUCUAUUUACGACCACUCUUUCUAUUCACCAACACCUCCUUUCAUUAACCCCCCCCCCCCCCCUUUCUCUCUCUCUCUCUCUCUCUCUCUCUCUCUCUCUCUCUCUCUUUCUCACAAAGACGUCGAUCUAUACGAAAACGCGAGAUCCGUUGCGGUCUCCGUCUCUCUUUCUCUCUCUCCCUGCUGCCCUUUGACGUGGCUUCACUAGAAUUGUUAUUGACCACAUGGAAACAGCAUAAAAAAUGAAUAGGUUCGGGUCACCUGGUGGCGGAACGUAGGCUUAGUAGGCCUUUUUUUUUUUUUUUUUUAUAUAUAAUGCAAAACAAACGGGUGCAAAACUGCUUUCGCUUACGAAGCCAUAGCAUUGUCGGGAACCGAGCAGAGUUGCAUACGAUUGAGCACGACGGCUGAACCAUGGACGCCGAAGCUUCAUCGUAAAAAUCUCCUCCCUUCUCCUGCAUACCUCAAUCUCCGGCGUCUCCAUGUUUCAAACUGCGCUUCCUCCUUUAACUUUUUUGCUUCUCUUUUCCUUUUCCUUUGUUGUCUUGGAAAGGUUUGAGACAAGCGAGACGCUGGGGACUUUUCUGUCUUCGACUCCGCUGCUGAAGGAGGCGUGGAGGCUGUGCAGCGCGGCGAAUGCGAUGGGGUGCGGUGCCUUCGUGGCGGAGCAAGUCGGGGGCGUGGGGUACGUGGCAUUCUCGGGCGUCCAAGAGAUGCCGGUGCUCGGUUGGGAUCCGAACUGCACCAUUCUGGCACCGCUGGAUGCAGCAGGCUACGGGCUGUUCGCGCCGCUGACACGCUGUUACGAAGGCGAAGAGCCGGUCAUGGUCCACUCCGGAGUGCUUCACCGCUUCCUUCAUUAUCAUUCGCGCAAUGAUCUUCAGAGCCAGGCUAGUUCAUUGGCAACAACUUUACUUUAUUUAUUUAUUUUUUACUUUGUCCGACUAAAAAUAAAGUGAAAAAGAAAAAAAAAAAGAGAGGAGAUAUCCCUCAACUGAUCUCACUCAGUCUUGAUUUUCGUGAAAUUAGAUUCUAAGAUUAGUAAUUCCUAUAAUUUUUCCUCUCCUUAACAAGUUCUAUCAUAUUUAUUAGAAAUACAAAGUUAUCUUUUCAUAUAAUCAUGGAUCUGUCCGAAAAGUUAAUGUUUUAAAACUUUUGCGAGACUGAUGAUACUAAUGGUUAGUUUAUUUUUAUAUUUGAGCUUCUUUGGGCAACAUCUCUAGUGGCAUGCGCUGUAUUCCCUUAGCAUUUCGGAUCUCUCUUUCUUCCCCCACCAUUAAAAUAUUAGAAAGUUAUCUAGCCAUGGGCUGCUCGCAGCGGGUUGGCCAAGCUCAGGCCUGCGAUUUUGGGUGCGAUUAAUUCAGCCUUUUCAAUGGGUCUGAGAGAAAUGUUGGGCAUUUGACGACCAUCCUUAAUGAGGUUUCAAGUUGAAAGGUUUAAAAUUAAUCAAUUACCUAUUUUGCCCUCAAAACCAUACUCAAAAAUCCAAUUUUACCCUUUUAAUAUUAAAACCCGAGCCUGGAUCUCAUUCUCUUACGUUUCUAUUGCUUUCUUUCGUUUGCUCUCCACCCUUCCAUCGCCCUCUCCCUCGCGACAGCUGCUCCUCGCUCGACUGCGCUCUUCGCUCGCUCGUGCUCAUUCUCUGCAGGUUCAAUCUCUCCUCUCUCUCCCCCCUCUCUUUCUCACCGGUGGAUCCGCUUUCGAUAGAUCUGUACAUUGUGAUGUUUGGACUGAAAAGUAACCCGAGCGAAUGAUGAAUGGUGCUCGUGGUUUUUGGUUGCACUGUGAUGUUUGAUUUGAGUCAAUCUCUCCUCUCCCCCUCUGUCUCUGGGUGCUUAGUUCUGAGUUCUUGAUUCGAUUCUGCCGCAUCUCCAGGUACUUGGUCAAUAGGCUGAUCGAUUUUUGCGUUGAAUCCGCUGCUGUCACGCGUUGUGCGCUGCUAGAUCAGAAUUCAAGAACCUCUAGUGUUUUAUUCUGUCAUGGGAAGAAGUUUUCGUGCUGAUUUUCUAUAGUUCUUGAUAAAGGCUCAAGAAAACAAGAGCCAAUCGAAGUGUGGGGUCUGUUUCUUGAACGUUUUGACUUUUGGGUUCUUCUGAUAGUUUCUUGCUGAAUAUUGUGCCCCAUGUGGUGGUUCGAUUUAGUUGUAAAUCAUGCCUCCCACCCAAUUACUAGCAACAUGUUGGUUAUCUUCCCUCCUACUGUCGUUUCUGAUUUGCAUUAGUACCCAUUUUCUUUUCCAAAUUGGUACUUAAAUUUUUGUCCUUCCUUUGUGUGCAGUGUCUUAUGGUAAUUAGUUGUUACUUCUUUUUUCUUUGUCUUGAAGACUUUAUUGUGAUUAUAUACGAGGCUUUUUAAUAUUUACCUCCUUCCGACUUUCCUUACUUGCACUCUCAUUUGAUUACAAUUCCAAGGUAUUUUGAUUAAGCUUGGGCUGCAGAUCUAUCCGCCCAUUUGGUCCAUGAUAACCUCUGGGUCUGAAUGUUGAAUUACCGUGGAUCCGAUAGUUCCGGUUUGGAGUUAUAUCAAACCGAACCGUUCUUGAGACAGAUCUCCUGAUCAUGAAGGGUACUCUUCUCAUAAGAGUAUCUAAAUACAAGAGCCAUACAUAUAAAUACAUUCUAUACAUGUGUUAAAACAUGUUUGCACACUUGUCAUCAUCUGCUGAAAUGAUAGUGUGGUUUUAGCUUGUCAAAUGAACAGUUGCGUAUGUUUAGCAUUUGCAGUAGGGCCCAUGAUUUCCCACCCGAUCUAUUUGUGUAACUCUUCUAAUCUGACAUGAUCUAGUGAAAUUGAUUUUUCAGGAAGUUUUUGAAGUAUUGUAAUGGAUAUUUUUUCAGGAAGCUUUUAACCAGAUUUUAGGAAUUCUUGAAUAUGUUUGCAGAUUCAUAGCUUGCUGGCUGAAACGAAGUCAAUAGUGAUCACAGGCCACUCCAUAGGAGGAUCAGUCGCAUUCCUCACAGCUCUUUGGCUCCUCUCCUACCUCAAAUCCAUCUUCCCACCCCCGUCAGUCCUAUGCAUCGGUUUCGGCUUUCCUUUCAUCAGCAGCGAGUCACUUUCCCGAGCCAUCCUCCGCGAAAGAUGGGGUGGCAGCUUCUGCAAUGUUGUGUCGACGCACGAUAUAAUGCCAAGGUUGUCUCUCGAGCGAUCACUUGUUCUGACUCCCCUGUGGCUAGCCCUCAUAAGAUUCUGGUACACGUCUAUGAUAUCACCAACCUCUAUGAAUUUCGCUAACCUCCAAUUAACUGAAGAAGGCAAGGCCUGGUUAUUAUCCUUCGCUGCGGCCAACAUGGAGCGCCUGGUACAGGCAGGGGAAGGCUCGGGAGGGAGGUUGUUUUGGCCGUUUGGGAGUUACUUGUUUUGUUCAUAUGAGGGCACGAUUUGUUUGGACAAUGCUGUAUCGGUCAACAAGAUGAUACAUUUGUUGCUGAGGACAGGCUCUCGAAAUUGUAUUGUUGAGGAGCACCUUAAGUAUGGGCAAUAUGUUGAAAGACUGACUCGUCAGUCUUUGAAGAGAAGCUUCAUGGAAGGAGAUCCCCCUGAGUCA